AGGUUGUUGAGAGUGGUGGGAAGAACAUCGAGAUUGCAGUGAUGACAAAGAAGGAUGGCCUUCGGCAACUCGAGGAGACUGAAAUUGAUGAAUAUGUUGCCGAGAUUGAGGCAGAGAAGGCCGCGGCUGAGGCUGCAAAGAAGAGCGGCCCGAAGGAUACCUAAUUACUGGGUGUGCUAUAUCUUCAUUCUGUCGGCCGAAACCUUUUAGUGUGUCACUGUUACGUUCCAUAACUUUCUUUAAACUGCUUUAACAAGAUAUUGAAGUCAUUCGUAAAUGAAUUGCCUUGUUUUCUUGAUGGCUCAUGGUCCAGGGGUUUCGUUUCCCUUUCCCCUUUCCAGCGUUUGAACCUUGCGCAAAUUUAUUACUCGUCAUCUGCUCCUCGCGUAUUCGCAGAUGGUUAACCUGGCGAACUGUAGUUUCUGAAGGUGUGGUUGCUAUGCCAUAUGGGCUCAUGUUAAUCACUGGAUAGUGCUGGUGCGUUUGUUGCAAUGUCAAUUCACUUCCGGUCCUGAUGAUGUCACCUGAGACUGCUGGUGCUUUCUUGGUAUUCUUGGUAUGCCACCUCACUUUGGUUACACGUCAGAGGCCCUACCAUGCUUGAAUUUUGCAUCUCUGUUCACCACUUGCAAAGCCAAAAUAAAUUUUAUUACCGGCCAAUAUGCUUUUGCUUUGUAUUAUACUAAAUUAUUUGUACACAUCUGGCAGCACCUUUCUGGCUGUUCAAAUCUGGCCGGUGGCACUGAAUUAUUUUGAAAACCUGCACAGCAUAUCGCAUAUGCGUGCACGUGCACGACCGUAUAUCAAGCUUGCACACCAGACACUAACUUAGCAAAGUCGUCAGGCGUGCACACAUAUGCUAGUGAACAAAAACAGUUGGUCACCUCAACUACGACGGACACAAACUCUUAUCUUUUUGUUGAAAGGCUUUCCUCGCACUCUACCUCGGCGCCUCUCCGCCACUUCUAUUGUCCCCAUCUAUUUGGCCUGCCCAAUUUAUAGAAAAGAAAUUUGAGCACCUCAUGAGAUUUCUUUUCCAUGUAUUUCGCCUUCUCGAUUUGGAAAAGAAAACAUGGAGGUCCGUGUGAGAAAUUGGCCCUCCUUCCAUAUGCUAGAGUGAGCUCUCACUAACCGACCGUGAGGGGGAAAAAGUGCCGAAACUCUGACUAGUAGAUUUAGCAGCACAUUGUUGCAUAAAUCUUCAAUUUUUGUUAUUCAAUUGUUUCUUCCGUCAAGUUCACCCUGCUAAAGCUUUUAAAGUUCACUAUUAGAUUUCGUUUUUAUGUUGUGUCGAUUCAUUCUUCACAUGUGAUGUAUCUAGGGCUUCAUCACAAUUUUGUUGAGAGCUGUCAUCGCUUUCAUUGCGGCGGAUCCUAUUUCACCCAAUUAUAGCAAUUUGGGCAAGUCGCCUCAUUUGUUCUUGUAUUGUACGCUUUCAUUGCGGCGGAUUCUGUUUCAUCCAAUUAUAGCAAUUUGGGCAAGUCGCGUCAUUUGUUAUUGUAUUGUAUGGAUAGAUUCGUCGUUUUUGGCAUGAGGUGCACAUGUACUCUCAUUCUUUCUUGUCAACUCUUGCUUCAAGGUUCGGCAACUACAUUGCCCGUUAUCAAUACCUACCCUUUGGAUAUCGCAAGCACCUUGGACAAAUAUUCAAGGUGGCCAAGGACAAAUGGAUCAACGCCGAAAGUACUCUUCAGGCAAGGAAACCUUGAUAGCCUUCGACAAAAACUCUUAAGGCACAAAGGCAAUACCACUGUCGGCGUUCUGGGAACGGGGGUCCCCAGACUUGCCUGCCUGCGGCCCACGGCGUGGCUCCACCAGCGGGCCCGUACGACCCAUCUUCACCAGCAAGCACUCAAGACCCUCGCGAGGGGCCAAGCCUCGCGAGGCGGACGACACAAGACCUCCUCAAGAGCGGCCUCACCAAGCUGGCUCGCGAGGGGCGGAGAGAUCAAGGCAAGGCAAACCUCGCGAGGUUCUCAUGACGUGAGCCAUGACGACCAAGGCCAGGCGGGCGCCAGCGCGCAGAGUGUCCUUGCUUCCUCUUUGGUGCUAAGGAGGCAAGCGCAGGCGAGGAGUUCCGAGGCAUUAGGCAAAGGUUUCCAUAUCGGUGCAACGAGAUCAAGACCAGCAUGACGGCAAAACGGAGGUCACCGUGGAGCCCAAGACGGCGUCACCACCAGAGCCUUUGGCAGGCAAAGACUACUUUUGUCAGGAUAAGCUGUACUGGUUGUCCCCUUUCAAAUUGGCCGUUGUUGUCUCCCUUCCCGCUCAAUAUUUGGGAAGAGGGCCAGGGCCUCUAUAAAUAGGGUUAGCCACCACAGUAGAGGGCAUCGGAUCCUCACCUACCAGAACUCACUCGAGCGAUCCUCACACCCACCAAGCACAAGAACACCUCACCUCAGGAGGCUAUUCUUCCCCUUGUACUGUUCAUCCUCAUCCCAAGAGGCAAUCCACCACCACCACACUGGAGUAGGGUAUUACACCACAACGGUGGCCCGAACCAGUAUAAAUCUUGUGUCUCGUGUGUUGAGAGUUCGUCGUGCUUAGCCUAGAGAUCGUCAAGCGUGUGAGGGCGUGAUCGGUGAGGGGGAGAUCUUCGCGCGCACCCCAGUGUUCAAACCUUAAGGGUUUUGCCGGAACCCGAAAUCCGACAUUUGGCGUGCCAGGUAGGUCACCAAGACCCUCAUCGAUGGCGGCGCCGGCCUCAACGUGCUCUCCGUGGAGGCCUUCGGCCUCCUUCACGUACCACUCGAGCGGCUCCGCCUCAGCAAGCCUUUCUCAGGAGUUGGCGGCGGCACCGCCCACUCCCUGGGGCAGAUCCGCCUUCCUGUCACCUUCGGCACGCGCGACAAUUACCGCACCGAGCUGGUCGACUUCGACAUCGCCCGCAUCGGCCUCCCGUACAACGCCAUCCUCGGGUACCCAGCUCUGGCCCAGUUUAUGGCAGCAACCCAUCCAGCUUACAACCUCAUGAAGAUGCCUGGGAGCAAGGGCGUCCUCACCAUCGAGGGGGACACCAAGGAGGCCCUGGUGGCGCUCAAGCUUGCCCUCAAGACCGGCGCGGGCGCCUCCGAGGCCAAGGGAGCCGCACCAACCAAGAAGAAGCAGUUGUUCACCCAAGACAAGGCAGAAACCAAGCAGGUGCCUGUCGAUGAGGACGGGUCCUCAGGAGUCACCUUUACCAUAGGUGCCUGUUGGGGAACGUAGUAAUUUCAAAAAAAAUUCCUGCGCACACGCAAGAUCAUGGUGAUGCAUAGCAAUGAGAGGGGAGAGUGUCGUCCACAUACCAUCGUAGACCGUUAAGCGGAAGCGUUAUGACAACGCGGUUGAUGUAGUCGUACGUCUUCACGAUCGACCGAUCCUCAGUACCGAACGUACGGCACCUCCGCGUUCAGCACACGUUCAGCUCGGUGACGUCCCGCGAACUCACGAUCCAGUAGAGCUCGAGGGAGAGUUUCGUCAGCACGAUGGCGUGGUGACGAUGUUGACGAAGCUACCGUCGCAGGGCUUCGCCUAAGCACCGCUACGAUAUGACCGAGGUGGAUUAUGGUGGAGGGGGGCACCGCACACAGCUGGGAGAGAUCAAUGAUCAACUUGUGUGUCCUAGGGUGCCCCCUGCCCCCGUAUAUAAAGGAGCAAGGGGGAGGCCGGCCGGCCCUGUAGGGCGCGCCAGGAGGAGGAGUCCUCCUCCUAGUAGGAGUAGGACUCCCCUCUUUCCUACUCCUACUAGGAGGGGGAAAGGAAGGGGGAGAAGGAGAAGGAAAGGGGGGCGAUACGUCUGAAACUCUGAAAUAGGCAAAAAACAGCAAUUCUGGGCUAGGCCUCUGGUUAAUAGGUUAGUCCCAAAAAUAAUAUAAAAGUGUAUAAUAAAGCCCAUUAAUGUCCAAAACAGAAUAUAAUAUAGCAUGGAACAAUCAAAAAUUAUAGAUACGUUGGAGACGUAUCAAAUACUAAGAGAAGUUUGAUGCUUGAUGAUUGUUUUGAGAUAUGGAGGUAGUGAUAUUAAAAUUGUGCUAGUUGAGUAGUUGUGAAUUUGAGAAAUACUUGUGUUGAAGUUUGCAAGUCCUGUAGCAUGCACGUAUGGUAAACGUUGUGUAACAAAUUUGAAACAUGAGGUGUUCUUUGAUUGUCCUCCUUAUGAGUGGCGGUCGGGGACGAGCGAUGGUCUUUUCCUACCAAUCUAUCCCCCUAGGAGCAUGCGCGUAGUGCUUGGUUUUUGAUGAUUGUAGAUUUUAGCAAUAAGUAUGUGAGUUCUUUAUGACUAAUGUUGAGUCCAUGGAUUAUACGCACUCUCACCCUUCCAUCAUUGCUAGCCUCUUCGGUACCGUACAUUGCCCUUUCUCACCUUGAGAGUUGGUGCAAACUUCGCCGGUGCAUCCAAACCCCGUGAUACGAUACGCUCUAUCACACAUAAACCUCCUUAUAUCUUCCUCAAAACAGCCACCAUACCUACCUAUUAUGGCAUUUCCAUAGCCAUUCCGAGAUAUAUUGCCAUGCAACUUUCCACCGUUCCGUUUAUCAUGACACAUUUCAUCAUUGUCAUAUUGCCUUGCAUGAUCAUGUAGUUGACAUCGUAUUUGUGGCAAAGCCACCAUGCAUAUUAUUCGUACAUGUCACUCUUGAUUCAUUGCCCAUCCCGGUACACCGCCGGAGGCAUUCAUAUAGAGUCAUACUUUGUUCUAGUAUCGAGUUGUAAUCAUUGAGUUGUAAAUAAAUAGAAGUGUGAUGAUCAUCAUUCAUAGAGCAUUGUCCCAAAAAAAGAAAAGAGAAAGGCCAAAAAAAAGAAAAGGCCCCAAAAAAAAGAAGGGACAAUGCUACUAUCCUUUUUUUCCAUACUUGUGCUUCAAAGUAGCACCAUGAUCUUUAUGAUAGAGAGUCUCUUGUUUUGUCACUUUCAUAUACUAGUGGGAAUUUUUCAUUAUAGAACUUGGCUUUGUAUAUUCCAACAAUGGGCUUCCUCAAAUGCCCUAGGUCUUCGUGAGCAAGCAAGUUGGAUGCACACCCACUUAGUUUCUUUUGUUGAGCUUUCAUACAUUUAUAGCUCUAGUGCAUCCGUUGCAUGGCAAUCCCUACUCCUUGCAUUGACAUCAAUCGAUGGGCAUCUCCCUAGCUCGUUGAUUAGCCGCAUCAAUGUGAGACCUUCUCCUUUUUUGUCUUCUCCACAUAACCCCCAUCAUCAUAUUCGAUUCCACCCAUAGUGCUAUAUCCAUGGCUCACGCUCAUAUAUUGCGUGAAAGUUGAAAAAGGUUUGAGAUUACUAAAGUAUGAAACAAUUGCUUGGCUUGUCAUCGGGGUUGUGCAUGAUGAGAGCAUUCUUGUGUGACGAAAAUGAAGCAUGACCAAACUAUAUGAUUUUGUAGGGAUGAACUUUCUUUGGCCAUGUUAUUUUGAGAAGACAUAAUUGCUUAGUUAGUAUGCUUGAAGUAUUAUUACUUUUAUGUCAAUAUUAAACUUUUAUCUUGAAUCUUUCGGAUCUGAAUAUUCAUGCCACAAAUAAGAGAAUUACAUUGAAAAUUAUGCUAAGUAGCAUUCCACAUCAAAAAUUCUGUUUUUAUCAUUUACCUACUCGAGGACGAGCAGGAAUUAAGCUUGGGGAUGCUUGAUAUGUCUCCAGCGUAUCUAUAAUUUUUUAUUGUUCCAUGCUAUAUUAUAUUCUGUUUUGGAUGUUUAAUGGGCUUUAUUAUACACUUUUAUAUUAUUUUUGGGACUAACCUAUUAACCGGAGGCCCAGCCCAAAUUGCUGUUUUUUGCCUAUUUCAGUGUUUCGAAGGAAAGGAAUAUCAAACGGAGUCCAAACGGAAUGAAACCUUUGGGAACGUGAUUUUCGGAACAAACGUGAUCCAGGGGACUUGGAGUGGACGUCAAGAAACGAACAAGGAGGCCACGAGGCAGGGGGCGCGCCUACCCNNNNNNNNNNNNNNNNNNNNNNNNNNNNNNNNNNNNNNNNNNNNNNNNNNNNNNNNNNNNNNNNNNNNNNNNNNNNNNNNNNNNNNNNNNNNNNNNNNNNNNNNNNNNNNNNNNNNNNNNNNNNNNNNNNNNNNNNNNNNNNNNNNNNNNNNNNNNNNNNNNNNNNNNNNNNNNNNNNNNNNNNNNNNNNNNNNNNNNNNNNNNNNNNNNNNNNNNNNNNCUCAUGGUCCCCUCGUAGCACCACCGACCUACUUCUUCCUCCUAUAUAUACCUACGUACCCCGAAAACAUCAGAACAGGAGCCAAAAACCCUAUUUCCACCGACGCAACCUUCUGUACCCGUGAGAUCCCAUCUUGGGGCCUUUUCCGGCGCUUCGCCGGAGGGGGCAUCAAUCACGGAGGGCUUCUACAUCAACACCAUAGCCUCUCCGAUGAUGUGUGAGUAGUUUACCUCAGACCUUCGGGUCCAUAGUUAUUAGCUAGAUGGCUUCUUCUCUCUCUUUGGAUCUCAAUACAAAGUUCUCCUCGAUUCUCUUGGAGAUCUAUUUGAUGUAACUCUUCUUUUGCGGUGUGUUUGUUGAGAUCCAAUGAAUUGUGGGUUUAUGAUCAAGAUUAUAUAUGAACAAUAUUUGAAUCUUCUCUGAAUUCUUUUAUGUAUGAUUGGUUAUCUUUGCAAGUCUCUUCGAAUUAUCAGUUUGGUUUGGCCUACUAGAUUGAUCUUUCUUGCAACGGGAGAAGUGCUUAGCUUUGGGUUCAAUCUUGCGGUGCUCGAUCCCAGUGACAGUAGGGGAAACGACACAUAUUGUAUUGUUGCCAUCGAGGAUAAAAAGAUGGGGUUUAUAUCAUAUUGCAUGAGUUUAUCCCUCUACAUCAUGUCAUCUUGCUUAAAGCGUUACUCUGAUCUUAUGAACUUAAUACUCUAGAUGCAUGCUGGAUAGCGGUCGAUGUGUGGAGUAAUAGUAGUAGAUGCAGGCAGGAGUCAGUCUACUUGUCACGGACGUGAUGCCUAUAUACAUGAUCAUACCUAGAUAUUCUCAUAACUAUGCUCAAUUCUAUCAAUUGCUCGACAGUAAUUCGUUUACCCACCGUAAUACUUAUGCUAUCUUGAGAGAAGCCACUAGUGAAACCUAUGGCCCCCGGGUCUAUUCUCUAUCAUAUUAAUCUCCCGACAACAGGCUAUUUCUGGCGCCGUUUAUUUUGCUUUCUUUACUUUUAUUCUUUAUCAUAAAAAUAUCAAAAAUAUUAUCUUAUCAUCUCUAUCAGAUCUCACUCUCGUAAGUGACAAUGAAGGGAUUGACAACCCCUUUAUCGCGUUGGUUGCGAGGUUCUUAUUUGUUUGUGUAGGUGCUUGGGACUCGAGCGUGGUCUCCUACUCGAUUGAUACCUUGGUUCUCAAAAACUAAGGGAAAUACUUACGCUACUUUACUGCAUCACCCUUUCCUCUUCAAGGGAAAACCAACACAGUGCUCAAGAGGUAGCAGGGGGCGCCGCCCCCCCUUCCUAGUCCAAUUCGGACCAGAGGGGGAGGGGGCGCGCGGCCUGCCCUGGCCGGCCCCUCUCUCUCCCCACUAGGGCCCAACAAGGCCCAUUAACCUCCGGGGGGUUCCGGUAACCCCUCCGGCACUUCGGUAAAAUCCCGAUUUCACCCGGAACUCUUCCGAUGUCCAAAUGUAGGCUUCCAAUAUGUCAAUCUUUAUGUAUCGACCAUUUCGAGACUCCUCGUCAUGUCCAUGAUCAUAUCCGGGACUCCGAACUACCUUCGGUACAUCAAAACAUACAAACUCAUAAUACCGAUCGUCACAGAACUUUAAGCGUGCGGACCCUACGGGUUCGAAAACUAUGUAGACAUGACCGAGACACGUUACCGGUCAAUAACCAACAACGGAACCUGGAUGCUCAUAUUGGUUCCUACAUAUUCUACGAAGAUCUUUUAUCGGUCAAGCCGCAUAACAACAUACGUUGUUCCCUUUGUCAUCGGUAUGUUACUUGCCCGAGAUUCGAUCGUCGGUAUCUCAAUACCUAGCUCAAUCUCGUUACCGGCAAGUCUUUUUACUCGUUCCGUAAUGCAUCAUCCCACAACUAACUCAUUAGUCACAUUGCUUGCAAGGCUUAUAGUGAUGUGCAUUACCGAGAGGGCCCAGAGAUACCUCUCCGACAAUCGGAGUGACAAAUCCUAAUCUCGAUCUAUGCCAGCUCAACAAGUACCAUCGGAGACACUUGUAGAGCACCUUUAUAAUCACCCAGUUAUGUUGUGACGUUUGGUAGCACACAAAGUGUUCCUCCGAUAUUCGGGAGUUGCAUAAUCUCAUAGUCAUAGGAACAUAUAUAAGUCAUGAGGAAAGCAAUAGCAACAUACUAAACGAUCAAGUGCUAAGCUAACGGAAUGGGUCAAGUCAAUCACAUCAUUCUCUAAUGAUAUGAUCCCGUUAAUCAAAUGACAACUCAUGUCUAUGGCUAGGAAACUUAACCAUCUUUGAUUCAACGAGCUAGUCAAGUAGAGGCAUACUAGUGACACUAUGUUUGUCUAUGUAUUCACACAUGUAUUAUGUUUCCGGUUAAUACAAUUCUAGCAUGAAUAAUAAACAUUAUCAUGAUAUGAGGAAAUAAAUAAUAACUUUAUUAAUGCCUCUAGGGCAUAUUUCCUUCAGUCUCCCACUUGCACUAGAGUCAAUAAUCUAGAUUACACAGUAAUGAUUCUAACACCCAUGGAGUCUUGGUGCUGAUCAUGUUUUGCUCGUGGAAGAGGCUUAGUCAACGGGUCUGCAACAUUCAGAUCCGUAUGUAUCUUGCAUAUCUCUAUGUCUCCCACCUAGACUUGAUCCCGGAUGGAAUUGAAGCGUCUUUUGAUGUGCUUGGUCCUCUUGUGAAAUCUGGAUUCCUUUGCCAAGGCAAUUGCACCAGUAUUGUCCCAAAAGAUUUUCAUUGGACCCGAUGCACUAGGUAUGACACCUAGAUCGAAUAUGAACUCCUUCAUCCAGAAUCCUUCAUUUGUUGCUUCCGAAGCAGCUAUGUACUCCGCUUCACAGGUAGAUCCCGCCACGAUGCUUUGUUUAGAACUGCACCAACUGACAGCUCCACCGUUCAAUGUAAACACGUAUCCAGUUUGCGAUUUAGAAUCGUCCGGAUCAGUGUCAAAGCUUGCAUCGACGUAACCAUUUACGACGAGCUCUUUGUCACCUCCAUAAACGAGAAACAUAUCCUUAGUCCUUUUCGGGUAUUUCAGGAUGUUCUUGACCGCUGUCCAGUGAUCCACUCCUGGAUUACUUUGGUACCUCCCUGCUAAGCUAAUAGCAAGGCACACAUCAGGUCUGGUACACAGCAUUGCAUACAUGAUAGAGCCUAUGGCUGAAGCAUAGGGAACACUUUUCAUUUUCUCUCUAUCUUCUGCAGUGGUCGGGCAUUGAGUCUGACUCAACUUCACACCUUGUAACACAGGCAAGAACCCUUUCUUUGCUUGAUCCAUUUUCAAUUUCUUCAAAACUUUAUCAAGGUAUGUGCUUUGUGAAAGUCCAAUUAAGCAUCUUAAUCUAUCUCUAUAGAUCUUAAUGCCCAAUAUAUAAGCAGCUUCACCGAGGUCUUUCAUUGAAAAACUCUUAUUCAAGUUUCCUUUUAUGCUAUCCAGAAAUUCUAUAUCAUUUCCAAUUAGCAAUAUGUCAUCCACAUAUAAUAUUAGAAAUGCUACAGAGCUCCCACUCACUUUCUUGUAAAUACAGGCUUCUCCAAAAGUCUGUAUAAAUCCAUAUGCUUUGGUCACACAAUCAAAACGUUUAUUCCAACUCCGAGAGGCUUGCACUAGUACAUAAAUGGAUCGCUGGAGCUUGCAUACUUUGUUAGCUUGGAUCGACAAAACCUUCCGGUUGCAUCGUAUACAACUCUUCUUCCAGAAAUCCAUUCAGGAAUGCAGUUUUGACAUCCAUUUGCCAAAUUUCAUAAUCAUAAAAUGCGGCAAUUGCUAACAUGAUUCGGACAUAUUUAAGCAUUGCUACGGGUGAGAAAGUCUCGUCGUAGUCAACUCCUUGAACUUGUCGAAAACCUUUCGCAACAAGUUGAGCUUUGUAGACAGUAACAUUACCGUCAGCGUCAGUCUUCUUCUUGAAGAUCCAUUUAUUCUCUAUGGCUUGCCGAUCCUCGGGAAAGUCAACCAAAGUCCACACUUUGUUCUCAUACAUGGAUCCCAUCUCAGAUUUCAUGGCCUCAAGCCAUUUUGCGGAAUCUGGGCUCACCAUCGCUUCUUCAUAGUUCGUAGGUUCGCCUUGGUCAAGUAACAUGACCUCCAUAAUAGGAUUACCGUACCACUCUGGUGCGGAUCUUACUCUGGUUGACCUACGAGGUUCUGUAGUAACUUGAUCUGAAGUUUCAUGAUCAACAUCAUUAGCUUCCUCACUAAUUGGUGUAGGAGUCACAGGAACAGAUUUCUGUGAUGAACUACUUUCCAAUAAGGGAGCAGGUACAGUUACCUCAUCAAGUUCUACUUUCCUCCCACUCACUUCUUUCGAGAUAAACUCCUUCUCUAGAAAGGAUCCAUUCUUAGCAACGAAUGUAUUGCCUUCGGAUCUGUGAUAGAAGGUGUACCCAACAGUUUCCUUUGGGUAUCCUAUGAAGACACAUUUCUCCGAUUUGGGUUCGAGCUUAUCAGGUUGAAGCUUUUUCACAUAAGCAUCGCAGCCCCAAACUUUAAGAAACGACAACUUUGGUUGCCAAACCACAGUUCAUAAGGCGUCGUCUCAACGGAUUUCGAUGGUGCCCUAUUUAACGUGAAUGCAACCGUCUCUAAAGCAUAACCCCAAAACGAUAGCGGUAAAUCAGUAAGAGACAUCAUAGAUCGCACCAUAUCUAGUAAAGUACGAUUACGAAAUUCGGACACACCAUUACGCUAUGGUGUUUCGGGUGGCGUGAGUUGCGAAACUAUUCCGCAUUGUUUCAAAUGUAGACCAAACUCGUAACUCAAAUAUUCUCCUCCACGAUCAGAUCGUAGAAACUUUAUUUUCUUGUUACGAUGAUUUUCCACUUCACUCUGAAAUUCUUUGAACUUUUCAAAUGUUUCAGACUUAUGUUUCAUUAGGUAGGUAUACCUAUAUCUGCUCAAAUCAUCUGUGAAGUGAGAAAAUAACGAUACCCACCGCGAGCCUCAAUAUUCAUUGGACCACAUACAUCAAUAUGUAUGAUUUCCAACAAAUCCGUUGCUCGCUCCAUUGUUCCGGAGAACGGCGUUCUAGUCAUCUUGCCCAUGAGGCAUGGUUUGCAAGUACCAAGUGAUUACAGAAGUCCAUCAGUAUGGAGUUUCUUCAUGCGUUUUACACCAAUAUGACCCAAACGGCAGUGCCACAAAUAAGUUGCACUAUCAUUAUCAACUCUGCAUCUUUUGGCUUCAACAUUAUGAAUAUGUGUAUCACUACUAUCGAGAUUCAACACAAAUAGACCAGUCUUCAAGGGUGCAUGACCAUAAAAGAUAUUACUCAUAUAAAUAGAACAAUCAUUAUUCUCAGAUUUAAAUGAAUAACCGUCUCGCAUCAAACAAGAUCCAGAUAUAAUGUUCAUGCUUAACGUUGGCACGAAAUAACAAUCAUUCAGGUCUAAAACUAAUCCCAAAGGUAGAUGUAGAGGUAGCGUGCCGACGGAGAUCACAUCGACUUUGGAACCAUUUCCCACGCGCAUCGUCACCUCGUCCUUAGCCAGUCUUCGCUUAAUCCGUAGUCCCUGUUUCGAGUUGCAAAUAUUAGCAACAGAACUAGUAUCAAAUACCCAGGUGCUACUGCGAGCUCUAGUAAGGUACACAUCAAUAACAUGUAUAUCACAUAUACCUUUCUUCACCUUGCCAUCCUUCUUAUCCACCAAAUACUUGGGGCAGUUCCGCUUCCAGUGUCCAGUCUGCUUGCAGUAGAAGCACUCAGUCUCAGGCUUAGGUCCAGACUUGGGUUUCUUCUCUUGAGCAGCAAUUUGUUUGUUGUUCUUCUUGAAGUUCCCCUUCUUCUUCCCUUUGCCCUUUUUCUUGAAACUGGUGGUCUUGUUGACCAUCAACACUUGAUGCUCCUUUUUGAUUUCUACCUCCGCAGCCUUUAGCAUUGCGAAGAGCUCGGGAAUUGUCUUAUCCAUCCCUUGCAUAUUAUAGUUCAUCACGAAGCUCUUGUAGCUUGGUGGCAGUGAUGGAAGAAUUCUGUCAAUGACACUAUCAUCCGGAAGAUUAACUCCUAGUUGAAUCAAGUGAUUGUUAUACCUAGACAUUUUGAGUAUAUGUUCACUGACAGAACUAUUCUCCUCAAUCUUGCAGCUGUAGAACUUAUUGGAGACUUCAUAUCUCUCAAUUCGGGCAUUUGCUUGAAAUAUUAACUUCAACCCCUGGAACAUCUCAUAUGCUCCAUGACGUUCAAAACGUCGUUGAAGUCCCGGUUCUAAGCCGUAAAGUAUGGCACACUGAACUAUUGAGUAGUCAUCAGCUUUGCUCUGCCUGGCGUUCUUAACGUCGUCAGUUGCAUCUGCAGCAGGCCUGGCACCCAGCGGUGCUUCCGGGACGUAAUUCUUCUGCGCAGCAAUGAGGAUAAUCCUCAAGUUACGGACCCAGUCCGUGUAAUUGCUACCAUCAUCUUUCAACUUUGCUUUCUCAAGGAACGCAUUAAAAUUCAACGGAACAACAGCACGGGCCAUCUAUCUACAAUCAACAUAGACAAGCAAAAUACUAUCAGGUACUAAGUUCAUGAUAAAUUUAAGUUCAAUUAAUCAUAUUACUUAAGAACUCCCACUUAGAUAGACAUCCCUCUAAUCAUCUAAGUGAUCACGUGAUCCAAAUCAACUAAACCAUGUCCGAUCAUCACGUGAGAUGGAGUAGUUUUCAAUGGUGAACAUCACUAUGUUGAUCAUAUCUACUAUAUGAUUCACGCUCGACCUUUCGGUCUCAGUGUUCCGAGGCCAUAUCUGUAUAUGCUAGGCUCGUCAAGUUUAACCCGAGUAUUCUGCGUGUGCAAAACUGGCUUGCACCCGUUGUAGAUGAACGUAGAGCUUAUCACACCCAAUCAUCACGUGGUGUCUCGGCACGACGAACUUUGGCAACGGUGCAUACUCAGGGAGAACACUUUUAUCUUGAAAUUUAGUGAGAGAUCAUCUUAUAAUGCUACCGUCAAUCAAAGCAAAAUAAGAUGCAUAAAAGAUAAACAUCACAUGCAAUCAAUAUAAGUGAUAUGAUAUGGCCAUCAUCAUCUUGUGCCUUUGAUCUCCAUCUCCAAAGCACCGUCAUGAUCACCAUCGUCACCGGCGCGACACCUUGAUCUCCAUCGUAGCAUCGUUGUCAUUUUGCCAACUAUUGCUUGUGCGACUAUCGCUACCGCUUAGUGAUAAAGUAAAACAAUUACAGGGCGAUUACAUUGCAUACAAUAAAGCGACAACCAUAGGGCUCUUGCCAGUUACCGAUAACUCCGUUACAAAACAUGAUCAUCUCAUACAAUAAAAUAUAGCAUCAUGUCUUGACCAUAUCACAUCACAACAUGCCCUGCAAAAACAAGUUACACGUCCUCUAUUUUGUUGUUGCAAGUUUUACGUGGCUGCUACAGGCUGAGCAAGAACCGUUCUUACCCACGCAUCAAAACCACAACGAUAGUUCGUCAAGUUAGUGCUGUUUUAACCUUCCCAAGGACCGGGCGUAGUCACACUCGGUUCAACUAAAGUUGGAGAAACUGACACCCGCCAGCCACCUGUGUGCAAAGCAUGUCGGUAGAACCAGUCUCGCGUAAGCGUACGCGUAAUGUCGGUCCGGGCCGCUUCAUCCAACAAUACCGCCGAACCAAAGUAUGACAUGCUAGUAAGCAGUAUGACUUGUAUCGCCCACAACUCACUUGUGUUCUACUCGUGCAUAUAACAUCUACGCAAUAACCUAGCUCGGAUGCCACUGUUGGGGAACAUAGUAAUUUCAAAAAAAUUCCUACGCACACGCAAAAUCAUGGUGAUGCAUAGCAACGAGAGGGGAGAGUGUCGUCCACAUACCCUCGUAGACCAUUAAGCGGAAGCGUUAUGACAACGCGGUUGAUGUAGUCGUACGUCUUCACGAUCGACCGAUCCUCAGUACGGAACGUACGGCACCUCCGCGUUCAGCACACGCUCAGCUCGGUGACGUCCCGCAAACUCACGAUCCAGUAGAGCUCGAGGGAGAGUUUCGUCAGCACGUCGGCGUGGUGACGAUGUUGACGAAGCUACCAUUGCAGGGCUUUGCCUAAGCACCGCUACGAUAUGACCGAGGUGGAUUAUGGUGGAGGGGGGCACCACACACGGCUGGAAGAGAUCAAUGAUCAACUUGUGUGUCCUAGGGUGCCCCCCUGCCCCCGUAUAUAAAGGAGCAAGGGGGAGGCCGGCCGGCCCUGUAGGGCGCGCCAGGAGGAGGAGUCCUCCUCCUAGUAGGAGUAGGACUCCCCUCUUUCCUACUCCUACUAGGAGGGGAAAAGGAAGGGGGAGAAGGAGAAGGAAAGGGGGGCGCCGCCUCCCCCCUUCCUAGUCCAAUUCAGACCAGAGGGGGAGGGGGCGCGCGGCCUACCCUGGCCGGCCCCUCUCUCUCUCCACUAGGGCCCAACAAGGCCCAUGAACCCCCGGGGGGUUCCAGUAACCCCUCCGGGACUCCGGUAAAAUCCCGAUGUCACCUGGAACUCUUCCGAUGUCCAAAUGUAGGCUUCCAAUAUAUCAAUCUUUAUGUCUCGACCAUUUCGAGACUCCUCGUCAUGUCUGUGAUCAUAUCCGGGACUCCAAACUACCUUCGGUACAUCAAAAUAUAUAAACUCAUAAUACCAAUCGUCACAGAACUUUAAGCGUGCGGACCCUACGGGUUCGAGAACUAUGUAGACAUGACCGAGACACGUUACCGGUCAAUAACCAAGAGUGGAACCUGGAUGCUCAUAUUGGUUCCUACAUAUUCUAUGAAGAUCUUUAUCGGUCAAACCGCAUAACAACAUACGUUGUUCCCUUUGUCAUCGGUAUGUUACUUGCCCGAGAUUCGAUCAUCGGUAUCUCAAUACCUAGCUCAAUCUCGUUACCGGCAAGUCUCUUUACUCGUUCCGUAAUGCAUCAUCCCGCAACUAACUCAUUAGUCACAUUGCUUGCAAGGCUUAUUGUGAUGUGCAUUACCGAGAGGGCCUAGAGGUACCUCUCCGACAAUCGGAGUGACAAAUCCUAAUCUCGAUCUAUGCCAACUCAACAAGUACCAUCGGAGACACCUGUAGAGCACCUUUAUAAUCACCCAGUUACGUUGUGAUGUUUGGUAGCACACAAAGUGUUCCUCCGGUAAUCGGCAGUUGCAUAAUCUCAUAGUCACAGGAACAUGUAUAAGUCAUGAAGAAAGCAAUAGCAGUAAACUAAACGAUCAAGUGCUAAGCUAAUGGAAUGGGUCAAGUCAAUCACAUCAUUCUCCUAAUGAUGUGAUCCCGUUAAUCAAAUGACAACUCAUGUCUAUGGCUAGGAAACUCAACCAUAUUUGAUCAACGAGCUAGUCAAGUAGAGGCAUACUAGUGACACUAUGUUUGUCUAUGUAUUCACACAUGUAUUAUGUUUCCAGUUAAUACAAUUCUAGCAUGAAUAAUAAACAUUUAUCAUGAUAUGAGGAAAUAAAUAAUAACUUUAUUCUUGCCUCUAGGGCAUAUUUUCUUCAGUGCCGACCUCGACCCUGACCAGGAGGAAGCGUUGGUGAAGUUCUUGCGCGCAAACAAGGAGAUAUUUGCAUGGGAACCCAAACAGCUGGUGUGGGUCCCGAGAGAGGUGAUUGAGCAUCACUUAAAGGUGUGCCCCAAUGCCCCGUGAAGCAGCGGGCGAGACGACAAUCCACGGAGGAGCAGGCCUUCAUCGUCCAAGAAACCCGCAAGCUGGAGGCGGCAGUGCCAUUCGCGAGGUUCGGUACCCCGAGUGGCUGGCGAACCCCGUUGUUGUGCCAAAGAAAGGCGGGAAGGAGCGCAUGUGUGUCGACUUCACCAACCUCAACAAGUCCUGCCCCCAAGAUCCGUUCCCGCUUCCACGCAUUGACCAGAUCGUCGACUCCACCGCUGAGUGCGAUUCUCUGUGCUUCCUGGAUGCGUUCUCGGGCUACCACCAGAUCAAGAUGGCGGUAGAAGAUGUGGAGAAGACCGCCUUCCUGACCCCGUGUGGGGUGUACUGCUAUACUUGCAUGCCUUUCAGACUGUGCAACGUGGGAGCGACCUUUCAGCGGCUGAUGCACAUCGCCUUAGGGCGGCAGCUCGGGAGAAAUGCGGAGGCCUACGUCGACGACAUUGUGCUGAAGUCUCGGGAGGCGAGAACCUUGAUCCAAGACCUGGAGGAGACCUUCUCAAGCCUGCGCCAGGUGAACUUGCGACUCAACCCGGAGAAGUGCGUGUUCGGUGUCCCUUCCGGCAAGCUGCUGGGUUUUCUCGUAUCCCACAGACGGAUCGAGGCGAACCCAGAAAAGGUCAAGGCAAUCGAAGACAUGAGCCCACCGCAGACCCUCAAAGAGAUACAGAAGCUUGUCGGUCGUGUGACUGCGUUGGGGUGCUUUCCAAGUUGGGAGAGCGUGCCCUACCGUUCUUCAAGCUAAUGAAGAAGAAGGGCCCAUUCGAGUGGACUCCGGAGGCCAACCAAGCGUUCCAAGACCUCAAAAGAUACCUAACCAGCCCUCCAGUGAUGGUAGUGCCUCGACCCCUCGAGCCCUUGGUGCUCUACCUGUCUGCCACACCCCACUCCCCCAGCGCAGCGCUGGUAGCCCUCAAAGAAGAGCGUCAGGUCAAGGGCCCUUCAAGUGGAACCACCGGGUCGGACGGAGCGGCGCGGCACCAAGGCGAAGAUGCAGCAGCGACUGCUUCGGCAGACCACCAAGCCCCUGAAGCCGAAGACCCCGAAGAGACACCUCAACCCCCGGAAGCCGAGGGCUCCGUCAGCUCUCCCGCCCUCGUCGAGCACCCGGUGUAUUUUGUCAGCACAGUGCUGCGGGAUGCGAGGGCACGAUACCCCAUGCCUCAGAAGAUCCUACUCGCGCUCUUGGUGGCCUCGCACAAGCUGCGCCACUACUUCCAGGGUCAUCCCAUCAAGGUCGUCUCGGCUUACCCACUGGAAAGAGUGCUCAGGAGCCCCAAUGCUGCCGGACGAGUCGCUGAAUGGAACAUCGAGCUGCAAGCGUUUGACUUGGAGUUCAGCACGACUAGGGUCAUCAAGGGGGCUGCGCUCGCAGACUUUGUGGCGGAAUGGACCGACGCCCCAGAGCUCGAAGCAGGCGAGGACCAAUCCCUAUCUCCAGGAAGCGAAGCACCGGACAGCUGGGUCAUGUACUUCGACGGCGCAUUCUCACGCCAGGGCGCGGGGCUGGAGCAGUGCUCAUCUCGCCCACCCAGGACAAGCUCUACUACGCCGUGCAGCUCUGCUUCCAGCAGGGCGAGAAGGUCUCCAAUAACAUAGCAGAGUACGAGGGCCUCAUAGCUGGCCUCAGGGCUGCGGUGGCCCUGGGAGUGAGGUGUCUCACCAUCAAGGGCGACUCGCAGCUCCUCGUCAACUUCUCCAACAAGGUAUAUGAGCCAAAGGACGAGCACAUGGAGGCAUACCUCGCGGAGGUGCGCAAGAUGGAGAAACAGUUCUCGGGUCUGGAAUUACAACAUGUGCCCCGUGGCACCAACAAGGAAGCCGACGACAUCGCCAGAAGAGCAUCCAAGCGGCUACCCCAAGAGCCUAGCGUCUUUGAGGAGCGGCUCUUCAAGCCAUCAGCAACGCCGCCGCUCUCGAGAAUAGCGCUGCCUCGUGAGGAGCUCCCUCAACCACCCGCCUCAGGAGCCCCGGCCUGCGGCCCGACCUCGGGAGCGCGGUUGCUCUUGGCGCUCGAACCCCGGGAGGGGUGCUGGAUCAAGGAGUUCAAGGAAUACCUGACGCAAGGGACGCUACCGGAAGAGCGGGAGGACAUGGAGCGUGUAGCCCGACAAGCCACGGUGUACUGCAUCCGGGACAGUGAGUUAUACAGGAAGCGGCCAAAUGACGUUUCCCUAUGUUGCAUCUCCAGGGAGCAAGGAAGAGAGCUGCUGACCGACAUACACGGCAGGGACUACGGGCACCACUCGUCGUCGCGGACCCUCGUCGACAAGGUGUUUCGCAGUGGAUUCUACUGGCCCACGGCACUCAACGACGCGACUGAGCUGGUGAGGUCCUGCGAGGCCUGCCAGUUCCACGCCAAGCAGAUUCAUCAGCCGGCUCAGGGCCUCCAGACCAUCCCACUCUCAUGGCCGUUCGCAGUCUGGGGGCUGGAUAUCUUGGGCCCAUUCCCUCGAGCGCCUGGGGGCUACCGCUACCUCUAUGUCGCACCAUCCCAGCUGGCUCCGCGGUCAAGUUCAUCAGGGGUCUCGUGAGCCGUUUUGGGGUUCCCAACUGCAUCAUCACCGAUAACGGCUCACAGUUCACUAGUAAUCUCUUCAAGACAUAUUGUGCUAACCUUGGAACGCAGAUCUGCUACGCUUCGGUGGCGCACCCUAGGAGCAAUGGUCAGGCCGAACGCGCGCAACGCAGAGGUCUUGAGGGGCCUCAAGACCAGGACCUUCAAGAAGAAGCUCGAGGCCUGCGGCAGGGGCUGGCACGACAGGCUCCAGUCCGUGCUGUGGUCCAUCCGCACCACCGCCACCAAGCCAACGGGUGAGACCCUGUUCUUCCUCGUCUACGGAGCAGAAGCGGUUCUCCCUCAUGAGGUCAAACAUCGCUCCAAGCGGGUCCUGGCGUUCGAUGAGGCGCAGCAGGAUGCCAUGCGGGGGAUGGACCUCGUGUUGGGGGAGGAACGUCGCCGUGAAGCCGCGCUACGAGCGGCAAGGUAUCAGCAGGCGCUGCGGCGGUACCACUGCCGCAACAUCCGCCCCAGGACGCUCGAGGUGGGUGACCUCGUCCUAAGGUGGGUGCUCUCCAGGGAAGGGCUGCAUAAGCUCUCACCCAUGUGGGAGGGCCCGUUUCGGGUCGCCCAUGUCUCCAGGCCUGGCGCCGCGCGCCUGGAGACGCAGGACGGGAUCCCCGUCCAGAACGCCCGGAACAUCCAGCACCUCCGGAAGUUCUACCCAUGAAGAAAGGCCCAGCUGAAAGAUCGUGGAUGUCGCCUAGAGGGGGGGGUGAAUAGGCGCUUUAAAAUAAUUACGGUUUAGGCUUGAACAAAUGCGGAAUAAACCUAGCGGUUAAUUUGACAAGCACAAAACCUACAACAACUAGGCUCACCUAUGUGCACCAACAACUUAUGCUAAGCAAGAUAAACAACUAAGUGAUAGCAAGAUAUAUGACAAGAAACAAUAUGGCUAUCACAAAGUAAAGUGCAUAAGUAAAGGGUUCGGGUAAGAGAUAACCGAGGCACGCGGAGACGACGAUGUAUCCCGAAGUUCACACCCUUGCGGAUGCUAAUCUCCGUUUGGAGCGGUGUGGAGGCACAAUGCUCCCCAAGAAGCCACUAGGGCCACCGUAAUCUCCUCACGCCCUCGCACAAUGCAAGAUGCCGUGAUUCCACUAAGGGACCCUUGAGGGCGGUCACCGAACCUGUACAAAUGGCAACCCUUGGGGGCGGUCACCGAACCCGUACACUUUGGCAACCCUUGGGGGCGGUCACCGGUACCCGUCAAAUUGCUCGGGGCGAUCUCCACAACCUAAUUGGAGACCCCGACGCUUGCCCGGAGCUUUACACCACAAUGAUUGAGCUCCGAACACCACCAACCGUCUAGGGCGCCCAAGCACCCAAGAGGAACAAGCUCAAGGGCACCAAGCACCCAAGAGUAAUAAGCUUCUCAACUUGUAACUUCCACGUAUCACCGUGGAGAACUCAAACCGAUGCACCAAAUGCAAUGGCAAGGGCACACGGAGUGCCCAAGUCCUUCUCUCUCAAAUCCCACCGAAGCAACUAAUGCUAGGGAAGAAAAUGAGAGGAAGAACAAGAAGGAGAACACCAAGAACUCCAAGAUCUAGAUCCAAGGGUUUCCCCUCACAAAGAGGAGAAAGUGAUUGGUGGAAAUGUGGAUCUAGAUCUCCUCUCUCUUUUCCCUCAAAACUAGCAAGAAUCCAUGGAGGGAUUGAGAGUUAGCAAGCUCGAAGAAGGUCAACAAUGGGGGAAGAACACGAGCUCAAAAGAUAAGGUUCAAUGGGGAAGAAGACCCCCUUUUAUAGAAGGGGAAAAAUCCAACCGUUAUGUGCUCAGCCCGCACACGAGCGGUACUACCGCUCCACGAGCGGUACUACCGCUCUGGCGGAAGAAGCAGGGAAAAGGAGCAACCAAACAUGAACCUUGGGGCGGUAGUACCGCUUAUAAGCGGUACUACCGCGCACCCCAGCGGUACUACCGCUGGAGGAGCAGAGCACGGGACCAAAAAAAACAGUAGCGGUACUACCGCCCGACCGGAGCGGUACUACCGCUUAUAGGCGGUACUACCGCCCACCAGGGCGGUACUACCGCUUAUAGGUGGAACUGCCGUGCCUUACUGCCGUGCAACUACUGCAAAACUCGACACGAAAAAUGCAAGACCCAAAAUCGAGGAGGUACCAGCGCGGAACCGUAGCCGUACUACCGCUUAUGGCCAUAGGCGGUACUACCGCUUUGGACAGCGGUACUACCGCUUGGGGUGAUAAGCGGUACUACCGCUCUGGCCGCGGUACUACCGCUAGGAAACCAAAACUGCCAUAACUUCUGCAUAUGAGCUCCGAAUUGAGCAAACUCAAGCUUGUUGGAUUGAGAAAGACGAGUAGCAUCAAAACAGUGACUCGUUAUAGUAAGAAGAGGCAUGGGAGGUAUGCCAAAAAAUAGAGGAGUGAAACCUCCAACCGAGAAGAACCGGCAUAACCUCCAACAUCGAAAACAUCAUAGAAGAUGCGAGUGAACUCCGUUUUCGAUGAACUCGAGCUUGUCAUCAAGAUGACCAUAAGCUCCAAAACUCACAAAGAGAAGAACCAAACAAGAACCAACAAAGAUGAUGCAAGGAUGCAAUGGUUUGAGCUCUCUAUGAACGAUACGAUCAAGCUACUCAUCGAGAGCUCCCCUUGAUAGUACGGCAAUCGAUCCUAUAACCCGGUCUCCCAACUACCAUCAUGAGACCGGUAAAAUAGAAAACCUAUCAAGAGCAAACCUUUGCCUUGCACAUGGUCCACUUGAGCUAGAUGAUGACGAUCUUGACUCCCUCAAGUUGGACCACCUUUCUUGGUUGUGUUGGCUCGAUGAAGACUAGUUGAUUGGUCCCCCAUACUCCACUAUGGGUGAGCCACUCUUCCGCACAUCUUCACCAGUCCAUUGUCACCACAAUGGACGACAAGCUUCAAGCAUUUGAUCUCGUCAUUAUGCUUCACUUGAACUUGCACACCGCAACAUCUUCACAAGUCCAUUGUCGCCACAAUGGACGGCAAGCUUCAAGCAUUUGAUCUCUUCAUGAUGCUUCACUUGAACUUGCACACCGCAACCUAACCCCACAAAGAACUCUCACGAAGAUCAUGGGUUAGUACACAAAGCGUAAUCGACAAUGCUUACCACACCAUGGGAUCGCUUGAUCCCUCUCGGUACAUCUUGUGCGCUUUGUGUGUUGAUCAACUUGAUUCACUCUUGACUUAGUCUUGAUCAACCUUGACUCUUUCCAACUCUCUUCAUUUGGAUGAUGUCUUGAAGGUAAACAUGAAUGAUCACACAAUCUUCUUCUUCAAGACAUGCUUGCAAUAAGUUCUACUCUCACAUGACCAAUCUUUGGAUAAUUCCUUAAUAACACCUUGGUCACCACAUAACCUCCUUGAAACCAACACAUGGACUUCAAGAAAUGCCUAUGGACAAAUCCUUCAAAUAUAACUCAAGGCAACCAUUAGUCCAUAGAGAUUGUCAUCAAUUACCAAAACCAAACAUGGGGGCACCGCAUGUUCUUUCACCAGCGCCUGUGAAGAAGGCCCAGUGCCUGUGAAGGUCUCCACUCGUGACACUCUCACGUAAUAAUUAGUGGGGCUGUACACACCCCGGAGUCUCAGGAGAGCCGCCCUCGGGCCUCUGGGGCUCCCUCCCACGUCCUAGUGGCAGCACUUAGCUCCGCGCUGGUGAGAAGACUUGUAGACUAGACUAGGUGCCGGACGCGGCUUUUCAUUUGCUUUCCGUAGUUGGCUCGCCCCUCUUUAUUUGAAGUUUGCUUCUGGUGUUCUCGGCUGAUUUGGUUCCGUUGCCUUCUGCCUCUGUUUCCGUCUUCAGUUUAGCAUGUACUCUCUCUCGCAUUCCUCGCGAGGGGGCUGGACAGGUUCCUCCAUGAGCGUUUUGGACAGGUGCCUUCGUGAGCAUUUUCCCCUUUUACUGCUUUUCGCGAGGCACCCUCGUUUGAGCCCACAAGCUGGCGCACCUCUCCUAAUCCGUGCCCCACGGGUACCGCGAUACAAAGCGUUGGGUCAAGGCCAGCGACGCCUGCGACCAAGGCUCGGGAAAAUGUUAAGCCUCCUAACGAGUUUUUCUGCAAUUUCUAAGCGCCUACCAGGCCAAGGGGGCCUCGAUAGGCACCUGGAAGCGAGCACCUCGUGGAGAGGAGACUACUCCGAGCACGUCAAGCUAAGUUAUCCUUACAUAAAACGACGAUGUUGCGACACAACACACGGACGAUGAACAUAGCAUAAUAACUGGGAAAUCAUAGUUCGUUGCACGCCCCUCUGGGGCCCCAUACUGGUUUCUUUCUUAAUACAGGAAGGAAAGGAAGAACGAGAUAAAAGCGGCGCGUGCCCCCGUGGCGGACCGUGAAGGCGGGCUCUUGGUGCCGACCCAAGCUCAGCCAGACCCCUCCUCGCGCUUCACAGGGGCGCGGCGACGGGACGACCCGCUGCCACCUUUGAAGCGGGCGCGACGGCUGGUCAUAACCACCGCUACUGGAGCUGUCGCCGGGGGAAGAGCCGCCGUAGCUAGACGAGACGCGGCCGACGCCAAGGGCGGCUUCGCCCUCAUCCUCGUCACGACCAUCGCCAAGGCCGAGCACCUCGUCGCCGUCGUUGACCUCGGGGCAGCACCCGGCGCGGCGACCAUCUGCCCCAAAAACCCUCACGUAGAGGGUCGCAUCGCCGUCGUACUUGAAAUGGAGGGUUCACCGCAUGCCCAGGCCUCGAGCGCGGGCAAACGUCUGCCAGCCGCGAGCCAGGGCUAUGUUGCCCGCGACGGAGACCUCAACCGCGACCCAGGAAGCCCUGCUGCAGCAGCCGUCCGCCUGCAGCCAGAGCCCGCAUGGACUGACGGUCGGCAGCUCGUCAGCGAAGAAGCGCGGGAGCUGAAGCCAGUUGCCGGCCGGGUUCUCCGACCACACGACGAACUCCGGCAGCACCUCCGCCGAGUGGAAGCGUGGCCGGGGAGGCCGUGCAACCACGACGCAUCUUCCCUCAUCAACAGGGCUGCCACGACCAGGGCGACUCCCACCGCGCGAAGCGGCACCGCCGCGGCCGCGGGGGGCCAUGACGGGGGUUGCGGUGUGCUUGCGAGGACGGCCGCGUCCAUGCUUGGGCGCUGGAGAGCCGGGCCCCUCGCGAGGGGCCUUCCCCUUCUCCGCAACGGAGAACCUUUUCGACGGCGCCAUUGGUGUCGCUACUGGCAAUGGAGCAAAGGGAGAGAAGCGAGUGGAAUGGGAAGAGAUGGGCGAUGGGGGGCUCUGCCCCCCUCCUCAUUUAUAGCAAGGGAAAGCCAACCGGCGACCCCGACGAUCACAGGUAAUGAUGAUAUUUCUUUGCAUGCAGCAGGGACUCGUCAAAUCGGGCAGUUGCGGAGGCAGCGUGGGGAGGUGGAGACGCCCACGUCCAAUCCACCGCCACGCGUCGACCAGGGCCGCAGGCUAUUGGGGCCCGCGGCGCUCCGCACUUGCCCUUCGGCUUCGCCUCGAAGCCAAGCCCGAGCGCGCCUUGGGCCCGGGGGCUACUGUCGGCGUUCUGGGAACGGGGAUCCCCAGACUUGCCUGCUUGCGGCCCACGGCGUGGCUCCACCAGCGGGCCCGUACGACCCAUCUUCACCAGCAAGCACUCAAGACCCUCGCGAGGGGCCAAGCCUCGCGAGGCGGAUGACACAAGACCUCCUCGGGAGCGGCCUCACCAGGCUGGCUCGUGCGGGGCGGAGAGAUCAAGGCAAGGCAAACCUCGCGAAGUUCUCAUGACGUGAGCCAUGACGACCAAGGCCAGGCGGGCGCCAGCGCGCACAGUGUCCUUGCUUCCUCUUUGGUGCUAAGGAGGCAAGCGCAGGCGAGGAGUUCCGAGGCAUCAGGCAAAGGUUUCCAUAUCGGUGCAACGAGACCAAGACCAGUAGGACGGCAAGACGGAGGUCACCGUGGAGCCCAAGACGGCGUCACCACCAGAGCCUUUGGCAGGCGAAGACUACUUUUGUCAGGAUAAGCUGUACUAGCUGUCCCCUUUGAAAUUGGCCGUUGUUGGCUCCUUUCCCGCUCAAUAUUUGGGAAGAGGACCAGGGCCUCUAUAAAUAGGGUUAGCCACCACAGUAGAGGGCAUCAGAUCGUCACCUACCAGAACUCACUCGAGCGAUCCUCACACCCACCAAGCACAAGAACACCUCACCUCAGGAGGCUGUUCUUCCCCUUGUACUGUUCAUCCUCAGCCCAAGAGGCAAUCCACCACCACCACACUGGAGUAGGGUAUUACACCACAACGGUGGCCCGAACCAGUAUAAAUCUUGUGUCUCGUGUGUUGAGAGUUCGUCGUGCUUAGCCUAGAGAUCGUGAAGCGUGUGAGCGCGUGAUCGGUGAGGGGGAGAUCUUCGCGCGCACCCCAGUGUUCGAACCUUAAGGGUUUUGCCAGGACCCGAAAUCCGACAACCACCUUCAUCCAGCCCAUGGCGGCGAUAACAAAUUGUCCGUUAAGUGCCACCAUGAUGAAGUAGUUCGGACAUGACAUGGCCCACUUCUUGGACGAUAACAUAGUCGAGAGGCGGUCUAGGAGGGACUAGAUUGCUUGUUACUCCCUUUGUAAAGAAAUAUAAGAUCGUUUAGAUCACUAUGGGUAGUAUAUUUGAAGUCUAAGGGCCCUUUAUGCAUCACAUAAGAAGACCAUAGAUGUGAACUGUCUUUCUUUCAAGGUCCUCGUUGUAAUAUACUAGUAUGGGGUUUACUCCGUCUGCUUGUGGGCCCUUCGCGGUGGAAAAAAAAAGAAAAGAAAGAAAAGCCACGAUUGAUAACGAGCACAACCUGCUUCUACCGUUCCACGACGACGUCUCCCAAUCUCCUCCUCUCCCACCAUCCCCCGCCGCCGGCCGAGCCCUCCAGCGGCCAGCGCCGCCGCCGCCGCCGGCCGACCCUUCCGCCCCCCUCCCGCGGAAGCGCGACGCCUGGGAGUCUCCCCUCCCCUCUGCUGGAUUGGCUCGGAGCGGACGGGAGAUCCAUCCAGGCUGUGCUGGUAAGGAAGCCCUAGCGCAGCUCUUCUGGGGUUUCUGUUCCUCGUGUUUUCCUCUGCUGCCAGCAAAUCGAAUUCGACCCGUUCUCGCUCCAUGCAGCUAGCCACGGAUUUGCUCGCUGCCGGGCCUCUUGACGGUUCGACUCGGCUCUUCGAGAUCUCAGCUUGUUCUCCAGAAAUUUUGGGGGUUCAGGAACCCCCGCGCCAUGGAGUCAGGUGACGAAUCUGUUUUAUUUUUGAUUAGUUUAUGUGAGAUUCCCCUGAUGAAAGUAGAAUGUUCAGAGAGAUUAGUUUGUGAUAAUGAUUGGAUUGAACCGAGCCUUUUAUUUUCAUCCUUUUGAAAAGUAAAACUGAAUACUGAUAAAGCUCAUUUUGAAAUAAAUCAGCUGAGAUUCUACCUUGCUAUUCUCUGGGAUACGGUGCCUAAUUUUGGUAGUCACUGGUCAUGCUUGUGAGUUAAGCUAGUGUCACCUGCUGGAAUUAGUCCUGGUGCGGUGGUUCCCACCUUGUGUUGGGUUAGCUCUGCGGCGGAGCAAGCGAAUCAGUAUAGCUUUUCGUUAUUUGUUCUAAGAAUUCUUCUGUUCCCGCGCUUCUAUGGGUAGCAGAAAAUCUGCAGCGUUAAAUACUCCCUGCUUUUAUCAUUUAGAGUAUGCCUAAUUUGUCAAAACUAUUGUAAAACCACAUUUGUUUAAGAAGGGGAAUUAUAUCACGCACGCAGGUGCUUCUCACUGAAGCACCGCAGUUCGGCACCUCUGCUUCUCUUCUGCAACAGGUUAACCUUAUGUUCCCACACUUUUAUGGGCAGGGAGAAUCUGCAGCAUUAAUUGAAUUCAAUUACAGUGGUGGGCUGAGCUUACUUAUAUCUACAUCUGCAGUUUUAAUUGCUUCUUUUGGUCAUAGCUUAACUUUUGCAUGAUGUAUAUGCUACAAAGCAUGGACACGGCAGAAGUUGCCGAAUCCCCGUGCUGAUACGGCCGGACACGGGGACACACUCGGACACGCGGGGAUGCGCGUAUCCCGCCGUAUUUCCUGAAUUACGAAUUAAAAAACAGAAAGAAAAGGGAGGACACGGCUGGGACACGUGGGGGACUCGAUUAAUCCGCCGGUCGGAGCAGCACCCUCGUCCGACUUCAGGAAGCGCUGGAUCUGGAGCACCCUCCCGUCGCCGUGCUUCUGCUGCUGCGCCCCGCCGCUGCCGUUGUUGCUGCUGCAUCCCCCGCCGCUGCCGUUGCUGCUGCUGCAUCCCCCACUGCAGCGCUGGCCGCCGCCGCCGCCGUUGUUGCUGCUGCAUCCCCCGCCGCUGCCGUUGCUGCUGCUGCAUCCCCCACUGCAGCGCUGGCCGCCGCCGCUGCCGCUGCUGCAGCAGCAAGAGGAGCACGCUGGGAGGAGGGCGGUGGCGAGAGGUGCUGCGGGGAGUUGAGAGAUCCAUCGCUGGGAGGAGGGGCGAUGGCAAGAGAGUGGCGGCUUGGUCAAAGCGUUAGGGCAGAGAGAGAUAGGGCUUGAGUUUUGACGGCGCAGAUUGAUCUAUAGCAUCCAGUGGUUCUUAAAAUGGCACUAGCUGGGCCGGCCCAACUACUAACGGAUCAUCUUCUUUGUGGCUCUUGACAAUUGGGGAGGAAAUGACACUAGCUGUUCAGAGAGUUACUGCUGAAUCCGAAAUAUCCUCUCUGGGCUUAUGUUCAGAGAGUUACUGCUGAAUGGGGUGAUCUUUUUCUCGUUAUUUUUCCGUCUUUAACUCUAUAUUACAUGGCAUUAUUUAUUUAUUCUUAUAUAUACUUGCCGUAUCCCCGAUGGGCUGAUUUUGGAAAAUGCCGUAUCCCAUGUCCCUGUAUGCGUGUCACCAUGUCCAUGUCGCCGUAUCCAUGCUUACUAGUGUAUAUGACUAACACCUCACAACAGCGUUCUAUUGCGGAGCCCACCUGUAUCUGCUUUAGGCUCAGGUUGCGGUUGCUGAACUGUGUUGUACUGUGCUUAUUUUAUAAUCUCCUGUAGCAAUUUAAGCCAUAAAUAAAGGUAUUAAAGAGGGUUGAACAAACACUAAAAUAGGUAAAAGCUGGUUAACGGGUUAUCAUAACCCACUGCAAUGCCAAAUGCAGCCUUAGUCUACCACUGUUUUCAUUGAAUGUUCUCGAUAUAGUAUUUUUAUAUUGCUUUCUUCUCCUACAGCAUAUGUUAUUGUUGCUGGGUUCUGACAUUAUCCCUGUGCAGGUGAUACCAAAUUUGAUGCAUCACAGUAUGCUUUCUUUGGUAACAAUGUCUUGGAGGAGGUUGAGCUAGGUGGAUUGGAUGAUGAUGAUGCUGGUGAUGCUGGUUUUGUUGGGCCUGGUGACGAAGAAUAUACUCCUAUUUAUGGAAGGGAUAUGUUGGAGGUAAGAUAUAUGAUAGAUUUGGAAUCUCUUCUGUUUUGACAUGACCACCAUUAUCCGCCUUCUGGUCCUUUCAAAAAAAAAAAUCCACAGUGAAUAGGUGUUAUGUUUGUGGGAUGAUGUGCCAAAUAGGUAACAUGUGCAUUGGUAUAGCAUUGUGAGGCUUCCUUUUAUAUCUGAAGGAUCGCAAACUCCCUGUAGACUUCAGAGCACGAGGAGAGUUUCUCUUAGAAAUUAUCUUAAUUUUGAUCAAUCUGUUCUAGCCCUUGUUUUCAAGUUUGGUUCAUGCCAUCAGGAACCUGGUAGAGGAUGCAAAGUAUGCAACUAAUUUUAUUAUAGGUAUACACAUGCGACCAAAUAGGCAAAUAGGAAUAUACAUUGUUAUGUAAACUAGGAAAGCUUGCAUUGUCUCUUGUGAUUGCUAACUGUUUCCGUGUAUGUUGGUCGAAAGCCUGGUAAAGAAUGUAGUCAAUUGUACUUUAGGGUUACUAAUGCUAUCAUGUAUUCAGAAAAAGUCCUGCUUAAACUGAGGAAGUUAACGUAUCUAUUUUGGACCAUUAGUUAACUCUGUAAAGUGCAUACAGCCAUGGUUGGAAAUCCUCCUUACAUAUCCUGGAAAAAUUAGAAAGCUUAUGUUGAAUGCACUAUGCGGGAGGUAGUCCUAACUAUACACAAGCGUAUUCCUAACUAUACACAAGCAAGUUUUAGUUUUUAUGACUUCAGGUAGGAACCGUUACAAGUUCUGUGUACUGUGUGCUUCAUUCCCUUCAGUUUCUGUUUUGUUUUCACUCACAGUUGGAUCCCAAACAUGUAUUUAGGAAUGAUUUCAGAACGCUGUCCCACUGGAUUUCUGAUCACCUUAAAAGAUUGCAAAAGUAGUUCUUUUUUCUGUUGUAUAGGAAGGUCAACCGCUCAUUGGUCAAGCUUUGCUUUUGCAGGACGAAGGUGUAGGUUCAUUUACUGGUGUUGAUGAUCUUGCAGGGGCAUUCUCAAAGGUUUGAUUUCUAUGGUACAUAGUUCAUUUAGGAUUAUCGAAUGUAUAUUUUAAGAUUAUACUAAUAUAGUCACAUGAGCUCUCUUUUGUUUUACCAAAAUUAACGUUUACCUAAUUUGCAUGGUUGCCCUAUUUCAUUUGUCCCUGUUUGACUGGUGAGGCUGAUUUAUUUAUUUACAAUUUCAGCUGACCAGAACUGUUAACGAACCAAAGCAAUCAGGAAUAGUUAGUCGUGGGGGAUCGUUACCUGGACAAAGUGAGUAAUGCUGGUUUACUCAUUUAUUUGUGAGGAAAUAUGCUUUUGUGUUUUAACUUUGUUUCUGUCUUUGAAGGACAAUUAUGCAUGCUGUUAGAUAGCAUGUUUGCACAUGCUUAAGAGAUAUUCUCUAAAUUCUUUCAACUUACUACCACAGCUACAGUUAUCAUGAUGCACUUAACUUGGCUUUGUUAUGUCUUAUGUCUGACCAAUGUAAUUACUAUAAUAUGGCUGCUACUGCUAGUCUGUCAUUGUUUGAAUGCAAAUCUUGAGUUAACUACCGAAAAUAAAUAAUCUUCGUUUUCUUGUUACUUUGUUGAGUGCUAUACACAUUAACAUAAGUUUUAUUUAUUUAAUCAUUUCAUUAUAAUUCUGCACUUUAUAGCUUAUACUGCUGACUGGGCACAAGAGGCUGAAUCAUCAUACUGGCCUACACAGCCUGCAUUGGGUGCUGAACAACGGCUGGACAACAAAAACUGGUGGUCUCAACCACCCCAUCCAGCCCAGUUUGCUGAUUCCAGACUUCAGAGGACAUCCUCAUCCCCGCAACAAGAUGCUCAGUACAAUCCUAUUGAACCUAUUCUCGGACCAAGGCCAUCUCCUCUGCAGAGAAUGUCAUCAUAUCCUCACCAAGAGCCGCAAUACAAUAAUAUUGAACUGAUUCGUGGGAAUGGUAGCAGAUUUACACCAGCUUUGAUGCAGCAUCCAAAUGGAUUUAUACCACCUCAAAUGCCGCCACCCCAUCAACAAAACGGAAUGCUCCCAAUUCAACACUCUCCACCCCAGUUCUCACAACUACAUGCCCAGAUGCUUGGUGCCCAACAUUCUCCGCCACAAAAUCUGCAGAUGUUUGGUCCUCGGCAUCCUUCACCACAAAUGAUGGGUAGAUUUGAUCCAAAUUUUGUUAUGCCUGACUUGAGUGAUCCCAGAGCCAGAUCGAUGUUACACCAUGGAAGGCAUGGUCCGCGCUAUCCUCCCCAAGGUUUUGAGCCUGGCAAUAUGAGAAUGGAUAAUAGGUGGCAGCGGUUCAGAUCCAAGUACAUGUCCACUGAAGAAAUUGAGAACAUCGCAAGGAUGCAGAAAGCUGCCACUCAGAUCACCGAUCCAUAUAUUGAUGAUUACUAUCAUCAAGCUUGUUUGGCCAGAAAAUCAGCAGGAGCACAACUAAAGCACUACUUCUGUCCAACCUUGAUCAGAGAUACAUCUUCUCGUGCACGCAGUAAGGAUGAGCCACAUGCGUAUCUUCAGGUUGAUGCUCUUGGGAGGCUUCCAUUUUCUUCCAUCCGCAGGCCCCGUCCGCUCCUUGAUGUUGAAGAAGCCUCUGAACCAAGUGAUAGCACUACUGAAAAAUCUGCUUCAAAAUCUCUUGACCAAGAGCCGAUGCUGGCUGCUAGAAUCACAAUUGAAGAUGGCCUUUGCCUACUACUGGAUGUGGAUGAUAUAGAUCGUUUGCUUCACUUUAGUAAACAGCCAGAUGGUGGUUUGCAACUUAGAAACAGAAGACAGGCUCUUCUCGAGCAGCUUGCAGAAUCACUGCAAUUAGUUGAUCCACUUACAUCUAAUAAGGAUGCACCUCUGUCGCAAAAUGAUGAUCUAGUGUUUCUCCGCAUAGUAUCUCUACCGAAGGGCCGGAAACUACUUUCUCGUUAUAUUGAUCUUGUUACUUCAGGUAGUGAGCUUGCAAGGAUUGUUUGCAUGGCAGUUUUCCGGAAUCUAAGAUUUAUAUUCGGCAAUUUGCCCUCUGAUAGCAGCAUAGCUGGGACCACAACUAAACUUGUAAGUGCCGUAUCCACCUGUGUUGUUCGGAUGGACUUGAGUGGACUCAGUGCUUGUCUUGCAGCUGUUGCGUGUUCGUCACAGCAACCACCUCUUCGACCUCUGGGAUAUGCUGCUGGUGACGGCGCUUCUGUCAUCAUAAAGUCUCUACUGGACAGAGCAACAGAGCUUCUUACUGAUCAACAUGUGGCCUCUGCGUACAGCAUGCAGAACCGAACUCUAUGGCAGGCAUCAUUCGAUGCCUUCUUCGGGCUGCUUAUGGGGUAUUGCAUGAGUAAAUUUGAUACUGUGGUUCAUACAGUGCAAAUGCAACCAGCUGCUGCAGCUGUGAUAAGCAGGGAAACACCAGUGGAGCUGUUGCGUGCCAGCCUUCCUCACACAAAUGAGUAUCAGCGCAAGCAGUUGCUCAGUUUCGCUCAGCGCACUGUGCCUGUCAACAGCUCUAGUUCUCAUGGGUCUGGUAAUGUGCCGAUGGCAUCAGAAUAUGUCCAGAGCUGAAAUAGAAGAACAGAGCUGCUUUUCAUAAUCUAUAUACUUGAUAUGGUAUAGUUCUUUGAUAAUGUUUUAUCAUAGCUGCUUCACGUUAAUGUUUAUUCUAACCUUCUUUUUUAUAACUCUGAAUCCUGGUAACCCUAUGUUCUAUCCAAUGUGAUCCUUUCUUUUACUUGCACUCUGAAAGUGGCAUGAGUGUUUUCAUCAGAUUGCUAUCACUUCCAUUUUUGCUAAGUUGACGAGACCUGGUUGUUCAUACUUAAAGUUGUACUAAAAUUGAGACACUUAGUUUGGGACGGAGGGAGUACUUUGUUUAAAAUUAUACAUUUGCAGCUUUUCUCAACAAUACCAAUAAAGAAAGAACAGUUCUCCAUACCCCAUGUUUUGUCACCAAGUAGUGUGUGUGCCAGGCGGCCAAUUAUUCACCUAUUUAUUAUCUCCAUAGGUCUGCAACUUAUACCAGCAUACACGUUGAGCAAGAACAUAAUCUUCAGUAGCUGAAUUUUUGGUGAUAUUUACCUGCAGUUGUAACAUCCAAAUUCUCUGUUAGGAUGGUAUUCAGUUGCAGGAUGGUCCAAAUGGAAUUGCUUGAUCUUUCUUCUAUCAUCAUUUUGCUUUCUCUUGGAUCCUUGCCAUCUAUAUUGAUCUUUUAUUUAUUUGAAAGUCACUGUUAUGUUGUAACUUGUAUCUUCAGUUUAUCCUUCCAGUUUUAUUUUUGUUAGCUGAUCACAUAUAGAUGUAAAACUUUUAGGUUCUUGCGAGUGGUGGGAAGAACAUAGAUAUUGUGGUGACAAAGAAUGAUGGUCUCGGUCAAAUAUACAAAGGAUGAUCUUCGGCCACUUUAGGAAGCUCAAAUUGAUGAAUUAUGUUGCUGAGACUGAGGUAGAGAAGGCUGCUAGAAUGGAUGGUGCCCGAGGGGAACAUGAUGGCUGAAUGCCCUAAGCCUUCGUUCUGUCAGCCAAAACUUUUAGGGCGCUUUCUGUUGCAUUUCUGUUGCAUUCCAUUGCACGACCUAAACUUGUUUUAGCGCUUUAGUUUUGUUAUUCGUAUAUGAAUUUUGUUGUUUUGUUGAUGACCUGUAAGCUGUUUUUCUGUUCUUGAAUUGGCACAAAUUGUUACUGCAAGCCUUGCGUAUCAGCCUGACAUUUUAGCAGGCUGACAGAAAACAUUUCUGCAGUUUGGGUUAAUUAGUACUCCAAUGCUUGGUCAGGCAUAGCUGAUAAUGCUGUUGCCUUUUCUGGUAUGUUACUUUGGCUAAUGUUAAUUUCGUCUACUGUACAUGUAAAAACCCGAAUAAGAACACCAGCAAGAAGCACAUGUGCAAAUCCAUUUUUAACUAGUUAAUCAGAUUUUGGAAGCAGCCAACCUGCUACUGCCAAUACGCUUGGUUGGACCGGUGAAAAGAACGCCAACCUGACGUGCUAAGGCCAACUCCACCGCGCGACCUCAAACGGACGUUUGCUUGUCUGCCUCUAUGUCCGGACCUGUUCUGAGAUGCGGUGGUCAUGCGUCCAGCGCGCAGCCGCAUCCUUUGGCCCCAUCUUGCCCGCCUCCAUUUUAAAAAGCAACAACGUUCGAAAUACCAAGCCCUAGUUCAGGCCAGCGGCCCUAGUUCACGCCGGCAACGCAGCCGGCUUUCAAAAUGAAUAGUUUUGUUCGCUGGCAACAUAGCCAGCGGCCGGCAACACAGCCAGCCUCCAAAAUGAAUGUGUUUCUCGCCGGCACACAACCAGCGGCCCAGCGGGCGGCACCCCAUGCCAGCCUCCAAAAAAGAACAGCCACGGCCGAUCGGACGACCUAGUUCAGGCUGUCGGCGUCGAACAUCACACAACCAGUGACCCAGCGGGCGGCACCCCAUGCCAGCCUCCAAAAAAGAACGGCCACGGCCGAUCAGACGACCUAGUUCAGGCCGUCGGCGUCGAACAUCUCCUUCUGCCUGGCCUCGAACCAGCUCCUAGUCUUCUUGCUUAUCUUGGUCAAGUCCACGCUCAUGAUUGCAAGGGCCACCUCCUUUGCUUUGGUUGCGGCAUUGGUGGCCUCGAUGUCGAGCUGCCUCUGCCUGGCCGUGACAUUGGCUGCCUCGAUGUCGAGCUGCCUUUGCCGGGACGCCUCCUCCAUGUUGAUCUUCGUCUUCUUGGCCGCCUCCUCCAUCUCAAGCUUCUUCCUUUGAAGCUCUAGGUAUUGCUUCAUUUGCUCGUCCUUGCUUUGCCGCUUCUUCUCGUCCCUCACAUCCUUUUGAGACAUCAUGCCAUGCAAAGUCUCAUGUAAGGCCAUGGAUGAGGCAUCACGUAUGUCGUCCACCUUGGAGUUGGUCUUGCCCCUCAGUCUCUUCAACGCCUCACCAUCUCCACCUCCGGCGAACUUGGGCGUCUUCUUGCCUCUCUUCCUUUGAAGUUCACGGUAUUGAUCCUUGAACUUAGGGAAAUUGUUGAUGAUCGUCCAACAAUGCGUAAGAGUGAAUGGCUUGUCGUUGUGCCGGGCCUUGAAUGAGAUUGAAAUGCCUACAUCACAUGAUCAACAACAAUUGAACAUGCAAACAUAUACAAGGCCAUGGCCGUAGCAAAGAAAAGACUAGGAUGAGGAGAGCAUACCAUGCCCCCAACGCCGAGACCACUCACGGGCCGUGCUUCAACGCUCUAAAAUGCCGCGCAAUACUUGUUGCACUCUUAUUGGAUGAACAACCACCUCUUUUAAAUCGAGGUGAUGCCACGGUUGCUUGUAAUUUGGUAGGGCUCAAACAUCUUCCUUUCAUGGAAUGUUUUGUGGACUCUCGUCCAAAAAACAAGGCCCUUUUGUUGCGUGCUGGUCCUCGGAUCUUGGCUAAUCUCCAUCCAACAUUGGCAAAUCAACUUGUCCUCCUCUUGUGUAUAUGAAUCCGUGCGAAUGCUCUUCCUCCUCUUUUGUGCUUCCGCUUUUUGGGUGAGCUCGUCGAUGAACAAUGGCUCGCCACCAAAUAUCAAUGUCAUUGCCUUCUUCUUCAUCACCAUCACCUUCACAAUAGAUGUCAUCGUCUUCAUGCCAUGAGUCACCAUGGUCGUAGUCAGCACGGUCGUCGGCCUCUUCAUCGGCAACGUACUAGGCGUGGUCAUCCUGACUUUGGGUCUCGUCGGGAUCGUAGGCACGGCCAUGCCCACCCUCGUAGAUCACAUCCUCCAUGAAUUGGUUGUAGAAGGGGUCAUCAACCGGUGGCGUUGGUGUUGGCAUUCCGUCGAACAAGACGCGGGGGGAUGGCAUGGUGCCCGUAAACAGUGGCCGUGCUUGCUUCCUUUGCAUCUCGACGGCCGGCCGGCCGCCGCGGCAACAUUGCCCUUAACGACCGCCCUUCGGUUCCUCCUCUUCGCCGAUUCCGCGUCCAACUUGGUGAGCUCCUUCGGCGUGCACUCCGACCGCGGCUUCCUUGGCGCCUUGGCCGCCUUCUUCUUGACCUUUCCGGGCGGGUCGACAGCCAGGCCGCCGGAAUUCGGCUGGGCAUCGGCCAUGGACGGGGGAGGGAGGGGGCGGUGGGACGUGGGAGGGUUUGGGUGGAAAUGGCGCCAANNNNNNNNNNNNNNNNNNNNNNNNNNNNNNNNNNNNNNNNNNNNNNNNNNNNNNNNNNNNNNNNNNNNNNNNNNNNNNNNNNNNNNNNNNNNNNNNNNNNNNNNNNNNNNNNNNNNNNNNNNNNNNNNNNNNNNNNNNNNNNNNNNNNNNNNNNNNNNNNNNNNNNNNNNNNNNNNNNNNNNNNNNNNNNNNNNNNNNNNNNNNNNNNNNNNNNNNNNNNNNNNNNNNNNNNNNNNNNNNNNNNNNNNNNNNNNNNNNNNNNNNNNNNNNNNNNNNNNGCCCUAGAGGCAAUAAUAAAUGGUUAUUAUUAUAUUUCUUUGUUCAUGGUAAUUGUCUAUUGUUCAUGCUAUAAUUGUGUUAUCCGUAAAUCGUAAUACAUGUGUGAAUACAUAGACCACAACGUGUCCCUAGUAAGCCUCUAAUUGACUAGCUCGUUGAUCAACAGAUAGUCAUGGUUUCCUGACUAUGGACAUUGGAUGUCGUUGAUAACGGGAUCACAUCAUUAGGAGAAUGAUGUGAUGGACAAGACCCAAUCCUAAGCAUAGCAUAAAAGAUCGUGUAGUUUCGUUUGCUAGAGCUUUUCCAAUGUCAGGUAUCUAUUCCUUAGACCAUGAGAUCGUGCAACUCCCGGAUACCGUAGGAGUGCUUUGGGUGUGCCAAACAUCACAACGUAACUGGGUGACUAUAAAGGUGCACUACGGGUAUCUCCGAAAGUGUCUGUUGGGUUGGCACGGAUCGAGACUGGGAUUUGUCACUCCGUGUGACGGAGAGGUAUCUCUGGGCCCACUCGGUAAUGCAUCAUCAUAAUGAGCUCAAUGUGACUAAGGCGUUAAUCACGGGAUCAUGCAUUACGGUACGAGUAAAGAGACUUGCCGGCAACGAGAUUGAACAAGGUAUUGGGAUACCGACGAUCGAAUCUCGGGCAAGUAACAUACCGAUUGACAAAGGGAAUUGUAUACGGGAUUGAUUGAAUCCUCGACAUCGUGGUUCAUCCGAUGAGAUCAUCGUGGAACAUGUGGGAGCCAACAUGGGUAUCCAGAUCCCGCUAUUGGUUAUUGACCGGAGAGGCGUCUCGGUCAUGUCUGCAUGUCUCCCGAACCCGUAGGGUCUACACACUUAAGGUUCGGUGACGCUAGGGUUGUAGAGAUAUGUGUAUGCGGAAACCCGAAAGUUGUUCGGAGUCCCGGAUGAGAUCCCGGACGUCACGAGGAGUUUCGGAAUGGUCCGGAGGUGAAGAAUUAUAUAUAGGAAGUCAAGUUUCGGCCACCGGGAAAGUUUCGGGGGUUACCGGUAUUGUACCGGGACCACCGGAAGGGUCCCGGGGGUCCACCGGGUGGGGCCACCUAUCCCGGAGGGCCCCGUGGGAUGAAGUGGGAAGGGAACCAGCCCCUAGUGGGCUGGGCGCCCCCCCAUGGGCCUCCCCCCUGUGCCUAGGGUUGGAAACCCUAGGGGUGGGGGGCGCCCCACUUGCCUUGGGGGGCAAGGCACCCCCCUGGCCGCCGCCCCCCAUCCAGAUGGGAUCCCUGGCCGGUGCCCCCCCUCCCAGGGGGCCUAUAUAAAGGGGGGGGGGGAGGGAGGGCAGCAACAACACAGCCUUGGGCGCCUCCCUCCUCCCCUGCUACACCUCUCUCUCUCUCUCUCUCUCUCGUAGAAGCUCGGCGAAGCCCUGCCGGCAUCCUGCUAUAUCCACCACCACGCCGUCGUGCUGCUGGAUCUCCAUCAACCUCUCCUUCCCCCUUGCUGGAUCAAGAAGGAGGAGACGUCGCUGCACCGUACGUGUGUUGAACGCGGAGGUGCCGUCCGUUCGGCACUCGGUCAUCGGUGAUUUGGAUCACGGCGAGUACGACUCCGUCAUCCACGUUCAUUGGAACGCUUCCGCUCGCGAUCUACAAGGGUAUGUAGAUGCACUCCUUUCCCCACGUUGCUAGUAUACUCCAUAGAUGCAUCUUGGUGAGCGUAGGAAAAUUUUAAAAUUAUGCUACGAUUCCCAACAGUGGCAUCAUGAGCCAGGCCUAUGCGUAGUUACUAUGCACGAGUAGAACACAAAGCAGUUGUGGGCGUUGAUGUUGCCAAUUCUUCUUGCCGCUACUAGUCGUAUCUUGUUUCGGCGGCAUUGUAGGAUGAAGCGGCCCGGACCGACCUUACACGUACGCUUACGUGAGACAGGUUCCACCGACUGACAUGCACUAGUUGCAUAAGGUGGCUAGCGGGUGUCUGUCUCUCCUACUUUAGUCGGAACGGAUUCGAUGAAAAGGGUCCUUAUGAAGGGUAAAUAGAAAUUGGCAAAUCACGUUGUGGUCAUAUGUAGGUAAGAAACGUUCUUGCUAGAAACCUACAAACCACGUAAAAACUUGCAACAACAAUUAGAGGACGUCUAACUUGUUUUUGCAGCAUGUGUUAUGUGAUGUGAUAUGACCAGAAGAUGUGAUGAAUGAUAUAUGUGAUGUAUGAGAUUGAUCAUAUUCUUGUAAUAGGAAUCACGACUUGCAUGUCGAUGAGUAUGACAACCGGCAGGAGCCAUAGGAGUUGUCUUUAUUAUUUUGUAUGACCUGCGUGUCAUUGAAUAACGCCAUGUAAAUUACUUUACUUUGUUGCUAAACGCGUUAGCCAUAGAAGUAGAAGUAAUCGUUGGCGUGACGACUUCAUGAAGACACAAUGAUGGAGAUCAUGGUGUCAUACCGGUGACGAAGAUGAUCAUGGUGCCCCGAAGAUGGAGAUCAAAGGAGCAUAAUGAUAUUGGCCAUAUCAUGUCACUAUUUGAUUGCAUGUGAUGUUUAUCAUGUUUUUGCAUCUUAUUUGCUUAGAACGACGGUAGUAAGUAAGAUGAUCCCUUGUAAUAAUUUUAAGAAAGUGUUCACCCUAACUGUGCACCGUUGUGAAGGUUCGUUGUUUCGAAGCACCACGUGAUGAUCGGGUGUGAUAGAUUCUAACGUUCGAAUACAACGGGUGUUCACGAGCCUAGCAUGUACAGACAUGGCCUCGGAACACGGAGGACCGAAAGGUCGAGCAUGAGUCGUAUAGAAGAUACGAUCAACAUGGAGAUGUUCACCGAUCUUGACUAGUCCGUCUCACGUGAUGAUCGGACACGGCCUAGUUAACUCGGAUCAUGUUUCACUUAGAUGACUAGAGGGAUGUCUAUCUGAGUGGGAGUUCAUUAAAUAAUUUGAUUAGAUGAACUUAAUUAUCAUGAACUUAGUCUAAAAUCUUUACACUAUGUCUUGUAGAUCAAAUGGCCAACGUUGUCCUCAAUUUCAACGCGUUCCUAGAGAAAACCAAGCUGAAAGAUGAUGGCAGCAACUAUACGAACGGGGUCCGGAACCUGAGGAUCAUCCUCAUAGUAGCCAAGAAAGAUUAUAUCCUAGAAGCACCGCUAGGUGAAGCACCAAUCCCAGAAAACCAAGACGUUAUGAACGCUUGGCAGCAGCGUGCUGAUGAUUACUCCCUCGUUCAGUGCGGCAUGCUUUACAGCUUAGAACCGGGUCUCCAAAAGCGUUUUGAGAAACAUGGAGCAUAUGAGAUGUUCGAGGAGCUGAAAUUGGUUUUCCAAGCUCAUGCCCGGGUCGAGAGAUAUGAAGUCUCCGACAAGUUCUUCAGCUGUAAAAUGGAGGAAAAUAGUUCUGUAAGUGAGCACAUACUCAGAAUGUCUGGGUUGCACAACCGCUUGACUCAGCUGGGAGUUAAUCUCCCGGAUGACGCGGUCAUUGACUGAAUCCUUUAGUCGCUUCCACCAAGCUACAAGAGCUUUGUGAUGAACUUCAAUAUGCAGGGGAUGGAAAAGACCAUUCCUGAGAUAUAUUCAAUGCUGAAAUCAGCGGAGGUGGAGAUCAGAAAAGAACAUCAAGUGUUGAUGGUGAAUAAAACCACUAAUUUCAAGAAGGGCAAGGGUAAGAAGAACUUCAAGAAGGACGGCAAGGGAGUUGCCGCGCCCGGUAAACCAGUUACUGGGAAGAAGUCAAAGAAUGGACCCAAGCCUGAAACUGAGUGCUUUUAUUGGAAGGGAAGUGGUCACUGGAAGCGGAACUGCCCCAAAUACUUAGCGGAAAAGAAGGCCGGCAACACCAAAGGUAUAUGUGAUAUACAUGUAAUUGAUGUGUACCUUACCAGUACUCGUAGUAGCUCCUGGGUAUUUGAUACCGGUGCGGUUGCUCAUAUUUGUAACUCAAAACAGGAACUACGGAAUAAACGGAGACUGGCGAAGGACGAGGUGACGAUGCGCGUCGGGAAUGGUUCCAAGGUCGAUGUGAUCGCCGUCGGCACGCUACCUCUGCAUCUACCCACGAGAUUAGUUUUAAACCUCAAUAAUUGUUAUUUAGUGCCAGCUUUGAGCAUGAACAUUGUAUCUGGAUCUCGUUUAAUUCGAGAUGGCUACUCAUUUGAAUCCGAGAAUAAUGGUUGUUCUAUUUAUUUGAGAGAUAUGUUUUAUGGUCAUGCCCCGCUGGUCAAUGGUUUAUUCUUGAUGAAUCUCGAACGUGAUGUUACACAUGUUCAUAGUGUGAAUACCAAAAGAUGUAAAGUUGGUAACGAUAGUCCCACAUAUCUGUGGCACUGCCGCCUUGGUCACAUUGGUGUCAAGCGCAUGAAGAAGCUCCAUGCAGAUGGACUUUUGGAGUCUCUUGAUUACGAAUCAUUUGACACGUGCGAACCAUGCCUCAUGGGUAAGAUGACCAAGACUCCGUUCUCCGGAACAAUGGAGCGAGCAACCAACUUAUUGGAAAUCAUACAUACCGAUGUGUGCGGUCCAAUGAGUGUUGAGGCUCGCGGAGGAUAUCGUUAUGUUCUCACUCUCACUGAUGACUUAAGUAGAUAUGGGUAUGUCUACCUAAUGAAACACAAGUCUGAAACCUUUGAAAAGUUCAAGGAAUUUCAGAGUGAGGUUGAGAAUCAACGUGACAUAAAAAUAAAGUUCUUACGAUCAGAUCGUGGAGGAGAAUAUUUGAGUCACGAAUUUGGUGCACACUUAAGGAAAUGUGGAAUAGUUUCACAACUCACGCCGCCUGGAACACCUCAGCGAAAUGGUGUGUCCGAACGUCGUAAUCGCACUCUAUUGGAUAUGGUGCGAUCUAUGAUGUCUCUUACCGAUUUACCGCUCUCAUUUUGGGGGUAUGCUUUAGAGACUGCCGCAUUCACUUUAAAUAGGGCUCCGUCAAAAUCCGUUGAGACGACACCGUAUGAAUUAUGGUUUGGGAAGAAACCUAAGCUGUCGUUUCUAAAAGUUUGGGGAUGCGAUGCUUAUGUCAAGAAACUUCAACCUGAAAAGCUCGAACCCAAGUCGGAGAAAUGCGUCUUCAUAGGAUACCCUAAGGAAACUAUUGGGUAUACCUUCUACCUCAGAUCCGAAGGCAAGAUCUUCGUUGCCAAGAACGGGUCCUUUCUGGAGAAGGAGUUUCUCUCGAAAGAAUUGAGUGGGAGGAAAGUGGAACAUGAUGAGGUGAUAGUCACCCCUUCCGUACCGAAAAGUAGCGCAGCACGGGAAGAUGUUCGUGUGGUGCCUACACCGACUGGGGAAGAAGUUAAUGAUGAUGAUCAUGAAGCUUCGGAUCAAGUUGCCACUGAACUUCGUAGGUCCACAAGGACACGUUCCGCACCAGAGUGGUACGGCAACCCUGUCCUGGAAAUCAUGUUGUUAGACAACGGUGAACCUUCGAACUAUGAAGAAGCGAUGGCGGGCCCGGAUUCCGACAAAUGGCUAGAAGCCAUGAAAUCCGAGAUAGGAUCCAUGUAUGAAAAUGAAGUAUGGACUUUGACUGACUUGCCCGAUGAUCGGCGAGCCAUAGAAAAUAAAUGGAUCUUUGAGAAGAAGACGGACGCGGAUGGUAAUGUGACCAUCUACAAAGCUCGACUUGUCGCUAAGGGUUAUCGACAAGUUCAAGGGGUUGACUACGAUGAGACUUUCUCACCCGUAGCGAAGCUGAAGUCCGUCUGAAUCAUGUUAGCAAUUGCCGCAUACUAUGAUUAUGAGAUAUGGCAGAUGGACGUCAAAACGGCAUUCCUUAACGGCUUCCUUAAGGAAGAGUUGUAUAUGAUGCAGCCGGAAGGUUUUGUCGAUCCUAAGAAUGCUAACAAAGUAUGCAAGCUCCAGCGCUCAAUCUAUGGGCUGGUGCAAGCAUCUCGGAGUUGGAACAUUCGCUUUGAUGAGAUGAUCAAAGCGUUUGGGUUUACACAGACUUAUGGAGAAGCCUGUGUUUACAAGAAAGUGAGUGGGAGCUCUGUAGCAUUUCUCAUAUUAUAUGUGGAUGACAUACUAUUGAUGGGAAAUGAUAUAGAAUUCUUGGAAAGUAUAAAGGCCUAUUUGAAUAAGUGUUUUUCGAUGAAGGACCUUGGAGAAGCUGCUUAUAUAUUAGGCAUCAAGAUCUAUAGAGAUAGAUCGAGACGCCUCAUUGGUCUUUCACAGAGUACAUACCUUGACAAGAUAUUGAAGAAGUUCAAUAUGGAUCAGUCCAAGAAGGGGUUCUUUCCUGUAUUGCAAGGUGUGCAAUUGAGCACGGCUCAAUGCCCGACCACGGCAGAAGAUAGAGAAAAGAUGAGUGUCAUCCCCUAUGCCUCGGCCAUAGGGUCUAUUAUGUAUGCCAUGCUGUGUACCAGACCUAAUGUAAACCUUGCCGUAAGUUUGGUAGGAAGGUACCAAAGUAAUCCCGGCAUGGAACACUGGACAACGGUCAAGAAUAUCCUGAAGUACCUGAAGAGGACUAAGGAUAUGUUUCUCGUUUAUGGAGGUGACGAAGAGCUCGUCGUAAAGGGUUACGUCGACGCUAGCUUCGACACAGAUCUGGAUGACUCGAAGUCACAAACCGGAUACGUGUAUAUUUUGAAUGGAGGAGCAGUAAGCUGGUGCAGUUGCAAGCAAAGCGUCGUGGCGGGAUCUACAUGUGAAGCGGAGUACAUGGCAGCCUCGGAGGCAGCACAGGAAGCAGUCUGGAUGAAGGAGUUCAUUACCGACCUAGGGGUGAUUCCCAAUGCGUCGGGCCCGAUGACUCUCUACUGUGACAACACUGGAGCUAUUGCCCUUGCGAAGGAGCCCAAGUUUCACAGGAAGACCAGGCAUAUCAAGCGUCGCUUCAACUCCAUUCGUGAAAGUGUUCAAAAUGGAGACAUAGAUAUUUGUAAAGUACAUACGGACCUGAAUGUAGCAGAUCCGUUGACUAAACCUCUCCCUAGAGCAAAACAUGAUCAACACCAGGACGCAAUGGGUGUUCGAUUCAUCACAAUGUAACUAGAUUAUUGACUCUAGUGCAAGUGGGAGACUAUUGGAAAUAUGCCCUAGAGGCAAUAAUAAAUGGUUAUUAUUAUAUUUCUUUGUUCAUGGUAAUUGUCUAUUGUUCAUGCUAUAAUUGUGUUAUCCGGAAAUCAUAAUACAUGUGUGAAUACAUAGACCACAACGUGUCCCUAGUAAGCCUCUAAUUGACUAGCUCGUUGAUCAACAGAUAGUCAUGGUUUCCUGACUAUGGACAUUGGAUGUCGUUGAUAACGGGAUCACAUCAUUAGGAGAAUGAUGUGAUGGACAAGACCCAAUCCUAAGCAUAGCAUAAAAGAUCGUGUAGUUUCGUUUGCUAGAGCUUUUCCAAUGUCAGGUAUCUAUUCCUUAGACCAUGAGAUCGUGCAACUCCCGGAUACCGUAGGAGUGCUUUGGGUGUGCCAAACGUCACAACGUAACUGGGUGACUAUAAAGGUGCACUACAGGUAUCUCCGAAAGUGUCUGUUGGGUUGGCACGGAUCGAGACUGGGAUUUGUCACUCCGUGUGACGGAGAGGUAUCUCUGGGCCCACUCGGUAAUGCAUCAUCAUAAUGAGCUCAAUGUGACUAAGGCGUUAAUCACGGGAUCAUGCAUUACGGUACGAGUAAAGAGACUUGCCGGCAACGAGAUUGAACAAGGUAUUGGGAUACCGACGAUCGAAUCUCGGGCAAGUAACAUACCGAUUGACAAAGGGAAUUGUAUACGGGAUUGAUUGAAUCCUCGACAUCGUGGUUCAUCUGAUGAGAUCAUCGUGGAACAUGUGGGAGCCAACAUGGGUAUCCAGAUCCCGCUGUUGGUUAUUGACCGGAGAGGCAUCUCGGUCAUGUCUGCAUGUCUCCCGAACCCGUAGGGUCUACACACUUAAGGUUCAGUGACGCUAGGGUUGUAGAGAUAUGUGUAUGCGGAAACCCGAAAGUUGUUCGGAGUCCCGGAUGAGAUCCCGGACGUCACGAGGAGUUCCGGAAUGGUCCGGAGGUGAAGAAUUAUAUAUAGGAAGUCAAGUUUCGGCCACCGGGAAAGUUUUGGGGGUUACCGGUAUUGUACCGGGACCACCGGAAGGGUCCCGGGGGUCCACCGGGUGGGGCCACCUAUCCCGGAGGGCCCCGUGGGCUGAAGUGGGAAGGGAACCAGCCCCUAGUGGGCUGUGCGCCCCCCCAUGGGCCUCCCUCCUGCGCCUAGGGUUGGAAACCCUAGGGGUGGGGGGCGCCCCACUUGCUUUGGGGUGCAAGGCACCCCCCUGGCCGCCGCCCCCCAUCCAGAUGGGAUCCCUGGCCGGCGCCCCCCCUCCCAGGGGGCCUAUAUAAAGGGGGGGGGGGGAGGGAGGGCAGCAACAACACAGCCUUGGGCGCCUCCCUCCUCCCCUGCUACACCUCUCUUUCUCGUAGAAGCUCGGCGAAGCCCUGCCGGCAUCCCGCUACAUCCACCACCACGCCGUCGUGCUGCUGGAUCUCCAUCAACCUCUCCUUCCCCCUUGCUGGAUCAAGAAGGAGGAGACGUCGCUGCACCGUACGUGUGUUGAACGCGGAGGUGCCGUCCGUUCGGCACUCGGUCAUCGGUGAUUUGGAUCACGGCGAGUACGACUCCGUCAUCCACGUUCAUUGGAACGCUUCCGCUCGCGAUCUACAAGGGUAUGUAGAUGCACUCCUUUCCCCUCGUUGCUAGUAUACUCCAUAGAUGCAUCUUGGUGAGUGUAGGAAAAUUUUAAAAUUAUGCUACGAUUCCCAACAGGGGGGGGGUUGCUUUGUGCCACCGACAGGCGGGCCAGGGAAGGAUAAGCGCGCGCGUCCCGCCCGUCCGCGCGCUGUCUGUUGACCCCAAAAUCGGCGCAAACUUGGGCCGGGGAUGGGUCGAAAGUGGACAAAAAACGAACAAAAGUCCGUUUGCUCCCGCGCGCUGGGCCGUCUGGUUCGUCCGUUUUACCCCAAACGGACGCACCCGGACAGGAUGGGGUCGCGCCGUGGAGUUGGCCUAAUAAACAUGCGGCAGCGAACUAUUCUGAGAACUUGUGGAUGAAACUCGUCCUAGGAAGACAAAUAUCAAUUUGGUCGUUGUUUGGAUGGAUGCAAGUUUCUUGGCAUACCAAUGCUUUUUAGUCUGCUGCACUUCAUGUUUUUUUACCAAUAUUAGUUAACUCCUAGAGCGUGAGACCAAAAAUUUCGUAGCCAAAUAUUGGUUGUUUCAGGCAGUGAUCACACGAGCUUCAAGGUUACACUUUGGUUGUCAGCGAUGAUGUUAUCGCUCGGCAUAAGUGUUAGCUAUUUCAAAAACCAAUCAACGAAAAAGAAGAGAUAAGAACAAUGGUUUUAUGCAGGGAGGAACUCCACCCCACAUGGCAAAGUUGGCUAUAUCAACUCACUCAUUGUUCUACAGAACUUCUAUGAAACCUUGUGCAGCCAUGUUCUCCACUCACCAGCUAGCUAGGUUGGUUGACGUCUUUUAUAGGCGGAAGGGUCACCACCACCAAGGACAUAUAUGCACUUGCUUCAAUCGAUUGAGCAUUACAAGAUCAUAUAUAUUGAUAUGACUGGUGGCACAAUGCAAUGCAACAUCAUCAUAUAAGAUGGUAUUACAACCAAUAUAUGAGUACAUUAUGAGACGGAGGGUGUAUGUCUCGCGGAAAGGCUUCCACACCGCGGUAUCCAACAAGCUAGUUGCUGUCAGGCUGGUGAGCAUACAACAGUUUGCACAAAUGAACUUGGAAUUCAGUUGAGAUCAAAUGUUGUUUGCUACUCAUAACAUUUUAGCUCAUAUCCGUUUAGUUGGCAUGCGUCCCACCCUGACUCACACAGACAUGGAAGGCCCAGACCCCAGAAGGAUGGAGAGUAAAAGUGGCGUUCUGCGUGAUAAGGUGGCACAUGCGAAACACAGAAUUGCUGCCACAAAUUGCUCAAUUACACAUCAUAUCAGAUAGAUGGUGACAAGCAGGCAUUCCCAUGCCUAAACUAUGAUAUAUGAAUCACAUAUACAUUUGGUUUCUCUAAUAGACACAUCACCAUUGUUUCUAAGGAAGUUUUCCCUCAGUGGGACAAAGUUAUUCUAAGAAGUGCGUUGAAGACUCAGAAAACACACAUUUGCAAGGUCGUAUGAAACAUAGGGAUCAAGACUGCAAGACGCGAACGAACUAGGUGAGUCACAUUAAAAGGAGUGAUGUCCAUCAAAUCAUAUUAACUAUUAAUUCACGUACAAAUCAAGCCAAGGAGCGAACCGUGUCAAUCACCAAAACUAGAAGAGGUCAAACUGACCUCCAGAACGCCACCUUAUUGGAUAAGGAUUGAGGCUAUAAGUUUGCAUGUUAGCCAUCCUUGUCGCAUGCAUGUUACCUAAUUUCACAUGCCGGCAACUUCAGUUAUUAUUAGGUAGCAUUUCCCCUGUCCAAAAUAUUAGGUAUAUUAAUUUUCUCAAAUGUCCAACAUAUCUAUGUUUGACCAAGUUUAUUGGAAAGAAUAUUAACAAUGAAGAUGCCAAAUAAAUAAAAUAUGAAACUAUAGUUCAUGAUGCCUCUAAUAAGAAACUAUAUAUUGCAUGUCGUAAUUGACAUCUUUGUUGAUGCUUCAUUAACACCUUUGUAUCUCGCCAUUUUCUUUUCUUUCUGAUUUAUUGUAAUGUCAACUUAAGGGCUUCAUUAAUUUGAAGCAAGGCUGCUGUCUUCUAUCUAAAAAAAAGCUGUAAACAUGACAGACGGAAAAUUGUAAUCUAUAUCUAUACCUAAUAUUAAAAUAAGGUGAUAUUCUUAGUUUGGUCCCGCAUCCAAUCCUACAUUAUAUGAAAUACAUGAGGUGGUAUUAAUUCGUCCAAGCUAGACGCUGAGUUUCGUUUGAGCCAGAUGCCAAGUUUCGUUCGUCUAAGUUAUCAGGCCAGCCCACGCAGCUCAUCGGCCCACGCCAGCAUUGGGGGAGGCUCCUCCAAUUGCUUAAUGCUUUGCCGGAUCAUCCUCUUAAGAAAAAUGAAAUACUCGAUAUCUUCUAUAAUGGACUAACCGAUGCUUCUAGGGAUUUCCUGGAUAGUUGUGCUGGUUGUGUUUUCAAGGAACGAACUAUUGGGCAAGUUGAAGAAUUAUUGAAUAACAUAUUGAAAAAUUAUGAUGAUUGGACUCUUCCUGAACCACCGCUUAAACCCACUCCGAAGAAGAGGUGUAUCUUAUAUCUCAGUCCUGAAGAUAUGCAAGAGGAAAAUAAAUCUAUGAAGGAAAAAAUGUAUUAAAGCCGAGGAUGUAAAAUUUUUACCUCCUAUUGAAGAAAUACAUGGGCUUGAUACACCACCAUUGUCUAAGGUGGUAGAGGUAAAUUCUCUAAUGAAAUUCAAUGAUAAUGACAACCCUCACAAUAUGCAUCCUAGCCAAUGCCUUUAUGAGUUUGAGAAUUACAUUAGAAAACAAGAUCACUUCAAUGCAAAUGUUAUGAAACAAUUGAAAUACAAUUAUGACAUGAUUGCUCGCUUGAGUGACUUGUUAUUUAGAAUCUCAAAUGAUGUUAGAGGUGUGGGAAAGCAUGCUUCUAUGGUUCAAAUUCAGUUAGAACAAGUUGCUAAAUCUCAAAGAGAGUUGCUUAAUGAAAUGAAUAAUAAUAUAAGUGACUUUGCUGUUAGAGUAGCAACCAGAGGAGGUAAAAUGACUCAGGAACCACUUUAUCCUGAGGGACACCCAAAAAGAAUUGAACAAUAAUCUCAAAGAGUUACCACUGAUGCACGUAGUCCUUCUAAAAAGAAAAAGAAGAAGAAAAAUGAUAGGACUUUGCAUGCCUCUAGUGAAACUGAAGUAGAAAAACCUCCUGAUAAUGAUAAUGAAGUCUCUAUCUCUGAUGUUGAAACUCAACCUGGUAGUGAACACUCACCUUCUGAUAAUGAAAAAGAUAAUGAUAAGGUUCAUGAAGACACUCAAACAAAUAAUAGAGAACCAGACAAUGAUGUUGAGAUAGAACCAUCAGUUGAUCUUGAUAAGCCACAACCCAAGAAUAAAAGAUAUGAUAAAAGAGACUUUGUUGCUAGAAAACACGGUAAAGAAAGAGAACCAUGGGUUCAAAAACCUAUGCCUUUUCCACCUAGGUCAACUAAAAAGAAAGAUGAUAAAGAAUUUGAACGCUUUUCUGAAAUGUUGAGGCUAGUAUUUUUGCGUACUUGCUUGACUGAUAUUCUUAAAAUGCCUCCUUAUGCAUAGUAUAUGAAAGACAUCAUCACCGAUAAGAGAAAAAUAUCGGAAGCUGAAGUCUCCACCAUGCUUGCUAAUUAUACUUUUAAAGAUGGAGUACCUAAGAAACUUGGAGAUCCGGGAAUUGUUGGAGAACUUAGUAUUUCAAAAUUUUCCUACGAUCACGCAAGAUCUAUCUAGGAGAAGCAUAGCAACGAGCGGGGAGAGUGUGUCCACAUACCCUCAUAGACCGAAAGCGGAAGCGUUUAGUAACGCAGUUGAUGUAGUCGAACGUCUUCACGAUCCAACCGAUCCAAGUACCGAACGUACGGCACCACCGUGUUCAGCACACGUUCAGCUCGAUGACGUCCCUCGAUCUCUUGAUCCAGUUGAGGGCAAGGGAGAGUUCCGUCAACACGACGACAUGGCGACGGUGAUGAUGAAGUUACCGGCGCAGGGCUUCGCCUAAGCACUAUGACGAUAUGACCGAGGUGUGUAACCGUGGAGGGGGGCACCGCACACGGCUAAGAGAAGACUUGGUGUGUCUAUGGGGUGCCCACCUCCCCCGUAUAUAAAGGAGGGGAGGAGGAGGCGGCCGGCCCCAAUCCUAGUUGGACUCCCUUUCCUUUUCCGGAGUGGGGGAAAGAGGGAAGGGAGAGGAGGACAAGGAAAGGGGGGGGGGGGCGCCCCCUCCCUAGUCCAAUUCAGACUCCCUAUAGGGAGGGGGCGCGGCUGCCCCUUGUGGGCUGCCUCCCCUCUUCCCUAUGGCCCAUGUAGGCCGAAUCUUCCCCCCGGGGGUUUCGGUAACCUCCCGGUACUCCGGAAAAAUGCCCGAAUCACUCGGAACCAUUCCGAUGUCCGAAUGCAACCUUCCAAUAUAUGAAUCUUUACCUCUCGACCAUUUUGAGACUCCUCGUCAUGCCCGUUGUCUCAUCCGGGACUCCGAACAAUCUUCGGUCAUCAAAUCACAUAACUCAUAAUACAAAUCGUCAUCGAACGUUAAGCGUGUGGACCCUACGGGUUCGAGAACUAUGUAGACAUGACCGAGACACAUCUUCGGUCAAUAACCAAUAGCGGAACCUGGAUGCUCAUAUUGGCUCCUACAUAUUCUACGAAGAUCUUUAUCGGUCAAACCGCAUAACAACAUACGUUGUUCCCUUUGUCAUCGGUAUGUUACUUGCCCGAGAUUCGAUCGUCGGUAUCAUCAUACCUAGUUCAAUCUCGUUACCGGGAAGUCUCUUUACUCGUUCCGUAAUGCAACAUCCCGCAACUAACUCAUUAGUCACAUUGCUUGCAAGGCUUAUAGUGAUGUGCAUUACCGAGAGGGCCCAGAGAUACCUCUCCGAUACAUGGAGUGACAAAUCCUAAUCUCGAUCUAUGCCAACUCAACAAAUACCAUCGGAGACACCUGUAGAGCAUCUUUAUAAUCAACCAGUCACGUUGUGAUGUUUGAUAACACACAAAAUGUUCCUCCGGUAUUCGGGAGUUGCAUAAUCUCAUAGUCAGAGGAACGUGUAUAAGUCAUGAAGAAAGCAAUAGCAAUAAAACUAAACGAUCAUUAUGCUAAGCUAACGGAUGGGUCUUGUCCAUCACAUCAUUCUCUAAUGAUGAGAUCCCGCUCAUCAAAUGACAACACAUGUCCAUGGCUAGGAAACUUAACCAUCUUUGAUUAACGAGCUAGUCAAGUAGAGGCAUACUAGGGACACUCUGUUUGUCUAUGUAUUCACACAUGUACUAAGUUUUCGGUUAAUACAAUUCUAGCAUGAAUAAUAAACAUUUAUCACGAUAUAAGGAAAUAUAAAUAACAACUUUAUUAUUGCCUCUAGGGCAUAUUUCCUUCAGGAAUACCAACUAUACCUUGCUCCAUCAAAAGAAAUUAUGUGAAAACUGCUUUGUGUGAUUUGGGAGCUGGUGUUAGUGUUAUGCCUUUCUCUUUAUAUAAAAGACUUGAUUUGAAUAAACUCACACCUAUUGAAAUAUCUUUGCAAAUGGCUGAUAAAUCAACUGCCAUACCUAUCGGUAUUUGUGAGGAUGUGCCCGUUGUUGUUGCUAAUGUUACUAUUUUGACUGACUUUGUUAUACUUGAGAUGACCGAGGACGACAACAUGUCGAUUAUCCUUGGUAGACGCUUCUUGAAUACUGCAGGGGCUGUUAUUGAUUGCAAUAAAAGCAAGGUCACCUUUCAUAUCAAUGGUAAUGAGCAUACGGUGCACUUUCCGAAGAAACAAUUCCAAGUGAAUGGUAUUAAUGUUAUUGAAAAAUCUCCGACAAUCACUAUUGGAAGUUUUCAACUACCUCUACAUACUAUCAAAAAGAAAUAUGAAAUGCUUAUUGUUGGGGACAUUCGUAUCCCCGUUGAGGUAACUUAGUGAUUUACUAAAGUUCUUCGGUUUCAUGCUAAUCGAAAGUGGUUGUUAAUAAGACUUGAUCAACCUUAUUAAUGGAUCAUUUUUGAGAGGUAUAAAGUUGAUGAAUUUAGUGAGCACUACCUUCUGUCCCUACCUUUUAUUUUCUGUUUUUAUUAGUUAAAUAAAAUAAAAUGCCAUAUGUUGCCUGUUUUCUGAAUUUCCCGUGGAAUAAAAAAAUGAACCAAAAAUAAAAGUUCUCAGAAUGCUUUGAAAAUUUAAUAAGAUUUUUUUCCUGAUUAUUUAAGAAUUUUUGGUGCAAAUAAUAUCAGAGGGAGGUGCACCAGGUGGCACAACCCACCUGGGCGUGCCAGGACCCCCAGGCGUGCCCUGGUGGGUUGUGGUCCCCACGUGGGCCCCCUCACUUAUCUCUUCAUACCACAUCAUCACUUACCUCCAGAAAAAAAUCACCAUUGCUCUCUCUCUCUCGUGUUCUUGCUCUCAAACCCGCAAAUUUCGAUCUCUUUGCUCGAAGCUCCAUUUUUGAAACUGUUUAGGUGGAUUGUUGCUUGGUAUGUGACUCCUCCAUUUGUCCAAUUAGUUUUUGCUUUAGUGGUUUAUAUUUUGAAUAAUUAGCUACUCUUGGUGCUGCUGUAGAUGAGCUUGCAUGUUGAAUUCUUAGAGUUUUAAGUAGUUUGAAUGCUUGCUAUGGCCUCUAUACAUCCCUAUGAGUAGUUGCUAGCAAUCUUGUAAAGUUUCGUUGAGAAAAUUUUGUGGACUAAAAAUCUCAGAAUUUUUGUUUAUAGGAAAAAAACAUGAGUAUAUUUAGGAAGUUUGCUUCCAAGAAGAACUCCAAGGGAGUGAUUGGGGAGUCAUCUGAUAGUGAUCUUCGCACCGGGAGAUUGGCGGAGCUACGGCCGUGCAAAUGGCCGCAUACCCCGUUCAUGGAAGGGGCCGGAAUCCUUCAAGAGUUUGCACAAUAUGCUGCUAAUGCCGGCCUCACCGACUUCAUCGCAACUGAAUGCGAACAGUAUCGUCUCCUCACAAGUUCCUUUGUGCAAAGUUUUAAUUUUCUUCCUAGGAAUAACCCCCCUGAGGUGCAGUUUAAUUUGUUUGCUGAACCCCAUCAGAUACCACUUACUGAAUUUUGUGAAAUAUGCUUGCUUCCUUCUGAUGGUAGUUUGGCAGAGCCUAGGCCCGCAGAGUUUAAUGGUUUUUACGGUACUCUGACAGUGGGGGAUGAGAGAGGAGUGUCGAGUAUCACCGCUGCUGGCUUGCAUUUUCCUGCUGUGCACUAUUUUGCUCUAUUUAUUGCGAAUUGUUUACUUGCUAGAGAGAAGGUAGGCGCACUUAGUGCUCCAGAUUUUGCUGUUUUGCGUCACGCACUUCACUUAUAGCUUGGGAGCUAUUAUGACACGUCGCCUUCACAUUAAUAAAUCCAAAGGUAAAAUACAUGGUGGUAUUUAUGCUACUCGUUUGGUAGCUCGCUUUAACAUUCAGAUAUGCUUGCAUGAUUAUCCUUUGCCCAAGGUUUACCUAGAUAGCGCGACCAUGGAACACCACCAGUUUAUUACAAGAGAUUACCCUAACAUUCCUAUUCCUUAUAAUCUGUUUUUAGUGAAAACACUUGGGAUAUUAUUCCAUUGCCUGCACCUGCUUUGUUUGACCUUAUUGCCAGGGGUGGAUACAGGAUUAUGCCUGUUGAUAUCAUCGCCUACCGAAGCAACCAGGCUGCAGCAGAGGAGGAGCCUCAGCAGUGGGAUCCACAGGUGCCCGCUCCUCAGCAGUUUGACAUGGGACCCCACGGUUUCUUCGACUACUGACUGAUUACCAAGUUAGGCCAAAAGCCUAAGCUUGGGGGAGUACGUGUUUCUCACCGACUUUACAUUCAUGUUCACACAUCUCAGUUGUCGAUGUUCACACUUUUUCAUUGCAUUAUCCAUGUUAAAUCUAUUUUCUUGCUUUCUUGUGUGUUUAGAAAACUUUGAGAAAAUCCAAAAAUAUUUCCUGCUUCUUUUUGUUUUUUCUUUCUAGAGUAGUUAGCUGUAGCACUAAAAAGAAAACCCAAAAAGAUUUCCUUGUUCUUCUUUUGCUUGUUGGGAGCUUUCCCGUGUAAAUAGUUUUCCUCGUUUUUGAUUUCCCUUUUUAUUU
rnacentral:lncRNA from 1 species